rnacentral:lncRNA from 1 species
ACCUCAAGAUGGAUAUGAAGCUAACAAGGGCGCGGGUAUGCACGAGGAAUUCCUCCAUGCUCUUGCAUGCAAUUUAAGAAUUUCUCUGGCUCUCUCCUUUGUCUUUGAUCCUCGAUCAAAAACUUCCAGAACUUCCAGUACCAGGCACAAUUUUGCCACUGCUCCAAUCUGCAACAUUUCUUGUAAAACUCCAGGAGUUGCCGAGAACUUCGAUAUCGAAUGUAGAAUUCUUAUUCCGCUCUCAUUUGCUGUAGAUGAAACCCUAAGAAUCUUCUUCGAAACAAUGGCUAAUCCUGCACUGUGAUUCAACAGUUCCGCCCUUCCCUCAGCGCAUUUGCAUAGCAAAUUCAGCGCCAUAAGCAUCAAUUCGGAAGCCCUUUUGUCAGAAGAAUCGAGUAAAAGGUCAAUCAACAAGGGCACUGCUCCAGCUUCCACUGCUUUAAUCCUGUUUUUUUCCCAUGGACAUACCUUGAUAAGAACUUUCAGUGUGGCUUUGGAGACCUUCCGAGAGAUUUGAUCGUUCAAGAUAUCUACUAAUUCGUGGAAGAAUUCGGGUCUGAGACUGAUCGGUUGAUUUGGAUCAGCCACUUCGAACAUGGAUUUCAGAAACAUGACAGCAUAGACACGAGAAUCAUAGCUCCCGGAUUGCAUGACGCUCGUUAAGGACUGGAUUAACUCGAUAUUAUUCUGCAAGAGGGAUUUUAGCCCGGAUCCCGAUAGAUGGAGAUUAUAGAGAAUGCUCAAGGCUUCAGAUUGGAUAAACCGCCGGAGAAUAAUGUUUGGGAUCAAUUCUGAAUCCAUAACCACUUGCUUUGUUACCGGGCAAGUAUUAUUAUUCUGAGAAAACAGCCAUUUUUCGAUGCUCUCCCGAUCAUAUGUUAUACCGGUAGAGAGCGUAACAGGAUCCUUCAUAAUCUCUAGACUGAUGGGGCAGAGAAAGUAGGAUGGAAUUUCAAUUUCAUCCAUAGAAGAAGAAGUAAUUACAAAGAUUUGAUAAACCUAAGAUCUGAUCCAAGAAAAAGGUGACUAUACAAUUUUAAGCAAGAAAAUUAAAGUGAAGAGAAGUACAAAAAUUUUGUAAGCUAUAGAUGAAAAUCGAAGAAAGUGAAGUUCUUGUGGAGUUGAGUGGAUUGGUUUAAGGAGGAUAUGGUUUUAUAUGUGUCUAUAAAGAGAGGUAAAGAUUCAAAAUGUCAAAGUCAAAACACGGAAAAUUUUGUGUGUUCAGUUUGUGUGAAGGAAAGAGUAUUAUUGUUUUUUUUUUAUUACAACAAAUAAAAUUUGGACUUGGACUUUUCUAACAUGCAAUUUGCAAAUGACAACUUUACAAAUAAUUUUCUUACUUAAAUUAAAACACGUGAUCAAGUCAUGUUUAAUUACCAUGAAGGAGUAAAACAGAAGAAUCUGAGUUUGGAAAAGUUCAAUUUUGGUUUAAUUAGUUCACGAAAGUAACUUCGACCCGUUAUUAUUAUAAUUAUUUUUAUAAAUUUUUAUUCAAUUCAGUUGAACCGACGUAGUACUUUUAUCUUAACAAAAAGAAAAAUUGCUAAUCUAUGAGGUGAGUUGUCGAAAAUAAAGUAUAGAGAAAUAAAUUUAUUUCCUCUUUAAAAGUUUCAAGAUAAGAUAAUUCAAUGUCGAGUAUUGUGUUUGUAAGUCUUUUCGCAAACAUAAUUUUAACAAGAAAUCAUAUAUUUAAGAGAAAAAUGAAUUAUUUCUUGUCUUUCAAAAAUAUGUAUGGUACUUCUAAUUUUAUGACUGAAACAUAUCUCAAAAUCUAGUUCCUUUUGAAAAUAUAAAAUAUAAGUAAAUAAAUCCAUUUCUCUCUUUAAUCAUCGAAAACUUUUAUACAAUGUGAAUUAUUACCAAAAAGAAAUAAAAAAUCCUCACAAUUUUGAAUUUUUCAUUAUGUAGUUAUAUUCUGAGACUCCGAAUUAAAUAGAACAACACAAAUUCUUAGAUAUGGAUAGAUAAAGCAAACUGUCACACUAAAUUUAUUGUUAAUAAAUACGAUAACAAUAUUUCAUAAAAUAAUUUUUUCAAUCCAUUUUCGUACAAUAAUUCAAUACAAAACUAAAGUCGUUCUUAAUUUUUUUGGUUCGCGCAUUCCAUCACCGACACCAACUGAUCAUAAAUGCAGGAUGGACCUACCAGUAGGUUUGCAACACAUGUAUGUGUAUUAAUCCAUAGCUGGCUGCCGAUAUUGACCAAAGCUGGUUGGCAAUGGCUCGGACUACAUGGAGUUUUUAUUUAAUCUUGGCUCUAUUUGUUUCUCUUUGUUUAAGUCAACCCAAAAAAGUUAAAUUUUAUUGGAUUUUAAUUUCAUAAAAUAAUUUAUAGUCACAAAUAUUAUAUAUGUUUAUGGAACAAUAAAUUUCGAGACGAGUUUACUCAUACAAUGAUAGGAUGAACAAAGCUAUAGACGUAAAAGUCUAAGAUGAGGAAAAUAUUAUUUUCACAAUUAAUUAAUUAUUGAAAAUUCUGAGAAUAAGUAAUUACAGAAAUUUGAGAACGAAAGGUUGAGCUUUAAAGCAAAAUGGACCAAGUUUAAUAUUUGUUGACUAUUUUUAGUCAACCCCCCACAUGCCAAAUUGCGAGACUAUCAUCUUUUAUUGCUUAAAGGGAACUUUUCAAUUGCUUUAUGUGACCUUUGGGGCACUGAUUUACCAUUUGAAUAGUCCUAAUUCCAAGGUUUGGAUUCAUACUGGGGAAGCUCUUUUUGUUGUGAGAUACGGUAAUACCCCAAACUUCACGUUAGAUAUUUGGCUAAUAUGAUUCAUGUAUUUCAUGCUAAUUACAUUGUCAUUUGCAUCAAUUUUCUAAUUGCUUUAUCUUAAAACGGUAUAUUCGAUCAUUAAGUCUUUAAAAUCUUUACAUGGUGAUAAUCUUCGACUCCUCGACCUAGGUGGUGAACUUUACAUUGAGCUAUGAUAGAAAAUUAAGUUAACUAAAUGUUGGAGAUUGGCUUGGUAAGUAAUGAAAAAUCGAAAGUGUUGGAAAUUAGUAUCGACAAAGGUUCAAACUUUUCAUUCGGCUGAUCGAGGUCACUUUAAACCAUAGAUAGGUAAUUGCCAUAUUUGGGACAUGAUGCAUGAAGUGACAUGAUCAUGACAUAAUAAUAUAUGUCUCAUAUGACGUUAUAAAUUUUUAGGUGCGAAUUGUUGAAAUCGGUUGACAAUCGGUGUAAAUCGGGUAAGAAAUUAAAUGAACGGUUGAGGAAUUAGCUCUAUAAUAUAUUUUGGGAUCUUAGGGCAAGUGAAAUGGAUUAUAAACAUGUCAAAAUAAGCCAAGGAUUCUUGAUUUGUACCUGCAAAGAUAGAUAUAAAAUCAGAUUAUACAACAAGUGACCACCUCAUGCUUGAACACCUUGUGCUUAGGAUGUUUAUCAUUUUAACACUCAAUUUCUUCAACUUUAAGACAUCGAUCUCGUCUUUACUCCCUAAGAACUUAAUAUAGGAUGAAUAUAUAUCUUAAAGGUCACAAAUGGAUCCAAAUAUAAUGGUUGAAAGUCAAGUAUUUCUGCAAAGAUGACACAUCAUGUUUGGACAGCUCAUGCUUAAGGAUACUUGUCCUUUGUUCACAUUUUUCUUCACCCUUAAGCAAUAUGUGUGACCUCAACCACUUAAAGAUCACUCAUUCACCUCAUAGAUAAUAUAUUAACUCCCUUAGCUCGUCUCUAAGUGAUUCCAAGUGAAAAAGACGGUGAAAAAGUCAAAGAGAAAUAGAAACAAGAAACUGGAAUUUCCGGACAGCUUUGUUACUUCACGAUUUUGAGGUUUGUAUCCUUUGUAAGGAUUUAUAAUUUAUUGAAUAUUUGAACUUGCUUGUGAGUAGGUUGCAGUAUUGUUAACGAUUUUAUGAUCCCAAAAUAGGGGUAAUUAAUUACAAGAAUUUAAAAGAAAGUAAUCUGGACAGAGAUCAGGAUUUGCUAGAUUUGAAUGGUUUAAACUUGGAUUUUGGAUAAUACUUUAGAUAUAACUUGUAUCUAUGUAAAUGAAUGUUGUUGUAUGAGAGUUAGAAGAAUAGAAAUGGUCUUCUAAUAGCCUAGAAUCUGAUUGGUGACAUGCUCGUAAAAUGGAAACCGAAAACAGUCAUAGGAAAAUAAAACUGCCUGAUUUUGUGCAGUGGAAAAUGUACUGUUUUUGAAGCUCAAAACCCUUCAUUUGUUACAACCUUAUGAUCUGAUUAUCUUCACAUAUAUGUUAUAGGUCGGUGGUAAGAAUUUGGGAGUCAUCGGAUAUAGUUAAGGAGGUGAAAAAGGAUUGGAAAAAUAAUUGGAUAGUAAUGAAAAUCUGAAAACAGAUUCUGCCCAUUUGUGUUUUUAAUGUGAUUUCAACAUUUACAUAUCCAUUAAUUAUCUCUUGACCCUAGAAAAUAGAUUCUAAUGAGUACUAGGUUGUCGACAACAAUUGGAUGACAUUGACGUUCAUAACUGGACUUGAGAAAUAGCGAGACUUAUGGGAUUAGUUUGUAAUGCCAUCGGUAACUUGAAAUAAUGAUUUCAUCUAAAUUGUUUUGGCGUGAAUGGACACAUUUCGGGAUUGUGUGUGUUAAAGUUAUUAAAUGGAGGACUAUCUUUAAUAUUAGAUGGUAAUACAGGUGAUUUUUCGACGUUGAGCGAAAAGGAAAUUGAUAUACACUUCGUAGGAGUUUGCACACACAAAGGCGAAAGGUAAGUAAAAAUUCAUUUCCAGCUAUGAUACAAGAACCUAGUAUUUGUGAUAUGGUAAUGUUAAAAUAUCUACAUAACUUUGAUAAGAGGCAUAUAGCACAUUAUAUGAUGGUUAUAAUCGUUGAGUAUGAGGUUGUGGAACCUAUUGACAUCGAUUUUUAUUAAAUAUAUCAUUCAUGAGCAUUUUCAUAUGCAUGCAUGACAUGUGAUCAUGGUUCAAAUUCCUGCAUGCGAAACAUGAUUCCAAAGUGAGUUUUCUUUAUAAAUGUUUUAUUGAUCACUAUUAGGGCACCGAGGCAUGUGAGACAUGCUUAUGUAAUAUGUUAGACAUCUCGAGUGAUACUUCCUGAGUGAUUGCAAAGGUAGAUAGGGGAUGAACCUUUGGUGAUCACGGGAGGGUGAACCACUCAAUUGUACCCUUAUGAUAUUAUGAUUAUUAGCGCUGCCAGGUGGGAGACUUCUUGGGUGAUCAUAGGGGUAAUUAGGGGAUGAACCUCUAGUGAUCACGAGAGGAUGGUCUACUCGCAGGUGUCGAUUUCAUAUUGAGCAUUUGAUUAUUGAUAUUGAUAUUAUGCAGAGCUCUAUCCGAUGUAUAGUAGGUGGGUCAAGGGCCCUAUGAAAUGAAAUGUUUCAAAUGAAAUGAUUUCGAGUUGAUUUUGAUGAAUAUUUGAAUAUGAUGCUUCUUUAUCGUGAUAUUUAAAGUAAAUAGCAUAGUUGUAUAUAUCAUUAUUAUUCAUAUUCAUGACAUGCAUGAAUUUUGCUUACUAAGCAUUGGUUUAUGUAAUUCUUACAUUGUAGGUGAGUCUGGAACUACAUAGAGAGCACGACUAGUUGUGGAGCUCUUACGGGAUUCCAGAGUUCGAUGCACAUGGAUGAUGACUUGUAGGGUUAUUUUGUGGGUUGCUAUUUUGAGCUUAUGGCCUAUUGCGUUGUAUGUUGGGGAUCUUGUGUUGUAUAUCUUUUGGCAUGGCAUGUAGACAUGUUUAUAAUCUCAGAAUAUAUAUGUUUGAUUAUGACGAUAUGAUUUUGGUUUAGAGAUAUAGCUUAUGUUGUUUUGUCAGGUGAAAAAAAAUGUGUGAAACUCUAUGUCUAGGUGACAUAGAUUAAAUUUGAAGCAUAUAACUACAGAAAAUGAUCAAAACUGAUAUUAGGAUAAUCUUUUAAAAUAUUGUAAUGGUUAAUGCAUUAGAUUAACUUAAUAUUCUAUCACAUAACAGUCAUCAUUUAAUUAUAAAUUAUGAGGGUAUGUAGUUAAUGUUUUAAUGAACUAACAUGCAGUAAUUUUAGCUAAAGAUUACUUGAAUUGUGAAAAGCAAAAUGUUUAUAUUUAAUAUCUUAUUUUAGUUUAUGAAUUAAUAAUAAAAAGAAAUUUAUUGAUAAGUUUACAUUUAUUAAUAGUUUGAUUAGGUAUUAUUAUACAUCUAGUUCGCGUGGAGUCCACAUAUGAGAUAACUAGGAAUUAGACGCCAUGUUGGCUAUUGUCCUCUACCAUAUAUACGGAGGCCUAUCUUAAUUCCUACUUGCGUGCUUGGUUGGUGUGAUUGUAUGAUUCUAAAUAUCCAUUCAAAAUCUUAGACGAUCAAAAGAAGAUCCAGAAGAAUAAUCAUUAAAUAGGUAAUUCUUUUUUAAAGAAACAAUAUCAUAAUUAUGAUAACUGUGCGAUACGACAUGUACUAUUGACCUAAUUUAACCUAAAUUCAUCUAUAAAUACAUACGCUUGGUUCAAAGAAAAGAUACACAACAUUGGACUCUAGCCAAAGUUUUGUUCAUUUGUCUCUUUCACAUAAAAUUUAUUCUCUAAUAUUUUUUGACAACUGACUUGAUCGUUUGAAUGUAAAUGUACAAGAUAUGAUCCAAAAAAGUGACGUUGAAUUUUAAAGUGCAAAGAAGGUAUAAGUUGGAAGCAACAACUACAAAUUGUUCUGAAAUAAAAGUUGAAUAACGUAUACAUUUUUACUCAUAGAAGAUAGCGGAGUGCAUUUCUUACUAAGCAUUUUUUUUUUUUAUUUUUUAUAAAUAAUGUUAGUGGGAGAUCAUAAAUUUAUGGGGAAUACCAUGGUGAAUUUAUGAAUAUUAUUUCAAAAUAACUUUAAGGGGUACAAGGCACACCAGUUUACUACAUAAACCGAAUCAGGAUCCCAUUCUUCAUAUAUUUCAAUAUAACUAGUGAGUUAACGUAUGUUGCACGUUAAUUGAUUAAUGUUUAAAAUAAACGUAUGUAAAUUUUAGAAAAAUUCUUUUAUAAAUUUGAAAGAUAUUCAUAAAUUCGUUGAAAUUGACUUAUUAUUCAUCAAGUUUCUCUGUAUAUUUUUUAUUUUUCAUAUCAACAUUUGAGAAUUUGCAUAUAUUUGUACUAGACAUUUCCCUGUAGAAAAGUUUGUGGGAAAUUUUUUUAUGCGAAAUAUACUUCUCUAUAUAUAUUAGCUCAACCUAAAAUAUGAUUUAACACACUCAAACAUUGCCCCUAAUUCAUAUUAUGAGUAUAAUAAUUAAAUAUCACCAAGAUAUGCAACAUAACAAUAUCUACACUAUUGCAUUAAAAAUGAUUUUUCAUGAUGACAGGAAUUAUGCAGAAUCAUAAAUUAUGGCUUAAAAUGUUAAAUGCAAUUUCAUGUAUCAACCUUCUUCCAAAGACAUGAUUUUGUAAUAUUGCAAAAAUGUAAUUAGAACAUUAGAAAAUAAUGUAGACAUGGACAUAAAUAUAUAAAGGGAGAAAACUUCUUCAAACUUUUCAAAGUUCAAUUAAAAAGAAUUUUAAAUCGAACAAAAAAUUAUUUAUAAUAUGAAGAAAAAAGAAAUUUUAUAUUUUUUUCGAAAAAUAUAAUAAAAAAAACUAAGCAAAAGAAAAUUACAAAAAUUAAAUAAAGAAUAUAUAAAUAUUAUUUAAUUAAAAUUGAAAAAAUUAAGUUUUUUCAUGAAGAGAAAAUAAUUAAAUUUUUUUUAAAUCGAAUAAAAUUAUUUAUAACAUGAACAAAACAAAUUAAAAAAAGAAAAAAGAAAUGAAAAAAAAGAAAAAAGAAAAAUAAAAUCCAGGAUGGAGUUUUCUCCAUCCACAUGAUGGAGGUUUUCUCCUAUAUAAAAAAAAGAUUAUUAUAAAUUUUUUCAAUUAAAUUGAAAUAAUUAAAAUUAAAAUUAAAUAUUAUUUUUUAAUUAAAAUUGAUAAAAUUACAUUUUAUCAUAAAAUGGAAAUAAUUAAAAUAAUUUUAAAUCGAAAAAAAUAUUUGUAAGAUGAAGAAAAAAGAAAUUUUAAAAACAUUUUCAAAAAAAUAUAUAAUAAAAACAAAACAAAUUAAACAAAAAAAAUUAUGAAAAUUAAAUAAAGAAUAUAUAAAUAUUAUUUAAUUAAAAUUCAAAAAAUUAAAUUUUAUUAUGGAGAGAAAAGAAUUAAAAAGAACUUUAAAGCAAAAAAAAAAUUAUUUAGAACACAAACAAAACAAUUUAAAAAAAGAAAAAAUAAAUGAAAAAUGAAAAAUAAAAUCUAGGAGAACCCCAAACUUCCAUCUCCCCGUCCAGAUGAUGGAGGUUUUCUCCUAUCCUUUAAAAAAAAAAAAAAAAAAAAAAAAAAACCUUAANNNNNNNNNNNNNNNNNNNNNNNNNNNNNNNNNCUUAAACUUGAUGUAGCAGGCAAAAAUAGAAAAAAAAAGAAAAAGAAAAAGAAAGAUUAUCAUAAAGGUUUUUAAUUAAAUUGAAAAAAUUAAAAUUUAAAAUGAAUAUUAUUUUUUAAUUGAAACUGAAAAAAUUACAGUUUAUCAUAAAAUGAAAAUAAUUAAAAGAAUUUUAAAAAGAAAAAAAUAUUUAUAAUAUGAAGAAAAAAGAAAUUUUAAAACAAUUUUCAAAAAAUAUAUAAUAAAAACAAAAAAAAUUAAACAAAAGAAAAUUAUGAAAAUUAAAUAAAGAAUAUAUAAAUAUUAUUUAAUUAAAAUUGAGAAACUUAGGUUUUAUUACGGAGAGAAAAGAAUUAAAAAGAAAUUUAAAACGAAAAAUAUUAUAUGUAACAUGAACAAAACAAUUAAAAAAAAAGACAACUUAAAUGAGAAAAAAAAAAAGAAAAAAGAAAAAUAAAAUUGAGGAGAACCCCAAACCUCCAUCCUGGAUGGAGGUCUAAACCUUCCCAUCCAGAUGAUGGAAGUUUUCUCCUACCCUUAAAAAAAAUAAAUAAAAUAAAAAAUAAAAAAUCUUAAACUUAAUGCAACAGGCAAAAGUAGAAAAAAAAAAGAUUAUUAUAAAGUUUUUUCAUUAAAUUGAAAAAAAUUAAAAAUUAAAAUAAAUAUUAUUUUUAAUUAAAAUUGAAAAAAUUACAUUUUAUCAUAAAACGAAAAUAAUUAAAAGAAUUUUAAAUCGAAAAAAAUAUUUAUAAUAUGAAGAAAAAUAAAUUUUAAAAUAAUAAAAAAAACAAAUUGAACAAAAGAAAAUUACGAAAAUAAAUAAAGAACAUAUAAAUAUUAUUUAAUUAAAAUUGAAAAAAAUAAGUUUUAUUAUGAAGAGAAAAGAAUUAAAAAGAAAUUUCAGUUGAAAAAAAAAUAUUUAUAACAUGAACAAAACAAUUUAAAUAAAAACAAAUGUGGAAAUAAGAAAAAAGAAAAAUAAAAUCUAGGAGAACCCAAACCUCCAUCCUGGAUGGAGGUCUAAACCUCUCCAUCCAGAUGAUGGAGGUUUUUUCCUAUCCUUAAAAAAUAAAAAAAUAAAAAAAAAUUCUUAAACUUGAUGAAGCAAGCAAAAAUAGAAAAAAAAAAGACUAUUAUAAAGUUUUUUAAUUAAAUUGAAAAAAUUAAAAAUUAAAAAUUAAAAUGAAUAUUAUUUUUUAAUUAAAAUUGAAAGAAUUACAUAUUAUCAUAAAACGAAAAUAAUUAAAAGAAUUUUAAAUUGAAACAAAUAUUUAUAGUAUGAAGAAAAAAGAAAUUUUAAAACAAUUUCCAAAAAAUAUAUAAUGAAAACAAAAUAAAUUAAACAAAAGAAAGUUACGAAAAUUAAAUAGACAAUAUAUAAAUAUUAUUGAACUAAAAUUGAAAAAUUGAUUUUUAUCUUGGAGAGAAAAGAAUUAAAAAGAAUUUUAAAUCAAAAAAAAAUAUUUAUAACUUGAACAAAAUAAAUUAAAAAAGAAAAACGAAAAAUAAAAUUCUGGAACAGAUGGACUAAUCCAAAUGCUAUCUUUUCCAAGACAUAAACAUUAUAUACUGUUUGUGAUAUUGAAAAAUUUAGACAUAUAUGGACACGAAAUUUUGAAGCAUCAAAUCAAAAAUAAAAUAAACUAUUUGAUUGAAAAGAAGUCUCCAAACUUCAAAACAUUAAUUAUAUGAUAAAAAACCUAAAUAAACAAGAACUAGCAUCACGGAGCUCCUGCUCCUGCUCCUACUCCUGCUGGAUGGAACUUUGCUCUACUGCACUUAUUUUGAGUCACAUUCAUCAUUUUAAAAUCUAGACUUCUCUGCUAAUUCAAAUCAAACUAAAGUAUUAAAUUCUCCAAAAUUCUAUCAAUUCACAUAAAAAAAAAAGAAAAAGAAAAAGGAAAAGGAAAACCACAAAACGAAAAGAUAAAUAAAAAGAAACUUACAUUAAUCAGUAGUCUGCAACUCGAUUUCGAUUUGAUUUCAAGGAAGAAGAAGAAGGAAACUCAUGUAUAAAAAAGCUUGCAAUGUUAGUUUCAAUUAAAAAGAAAAAUGUAGUAGAUUAUACUUAAAAGAAUAGAACAAAAAUACCUAGAGUGCAAGUCGAUAUCUGAGGAAUUGAUGAUCCCGUAAUAAUAGCACGUGCAAUUGAGAAAUUAUAAUUUAGGAAUUUUUGAUUUUUGUAAAAAAAAAAAAAAAAAAAAAAGGGAAAAAAGGGGAAAAAAAAAAAAGCAAAGAGGGGUUUUUUUAAAAAAAGGGGAAACUNNNNNNNNNNNNNNNNNNNNNNNNNNNNNNNNNNNNNNNNNNNNNNNNNNNNNNNNNNNNNNNNNNNNNNNNNNNNNNNNNNNNNNNNNNNNNNNNNNNNNNNNNNNNNNNNNNNNNNNNNNNNNNNNNNNNNNNNNNNNNNNNNNNNNNNNNNNNNNNNNNNNNNNNNNNNNNNNNNNNNNNNNNNNNNNNNNNNNNNNNNNNNNNNNNNNNNNNNNNNNNNNNNNNNNNNNNNNNNNNNNNNNNNNNNNNNNNNNNNNNNNNNNNNNNNNNNNNNNNNNNNNNNNNNNNNNNNNNNNNNNNNNNNNNNNNNNNNNNNNNNNNNNNNNNNNNNNNNNNNNNNNNNNNNNNNNNNNNNNNNNNNNNNNNNNNAAAAAAAAAAAGUACAGACGAAAAUAAUUAAAAGAAUUUUAAAUUGAAGAAAAAAAUAUUUAUAAUAUGAAGAAAAAAAAUUUUAAGACAAUUUUAAUAAAUUUAUAAUAAAAAAAAAUAAAUUAAACAAAAAAAAGUUAUGAAAAUUAAAUAAAGAAUAUAUGAAUAUUAUUUAAUUAAAAUCAAAAAAAUAAGUUUUAUCAUGAAGAGAAAGAAAUAAAAUGAAUUUUAAAUCGAAAAAAAUUAUUUAUAAUAUGAACAAAAUAAAUUAAAAAAGAAAAAAUAAAAGAGAAAAAAAAAUAAAAACGAAAAAUAAAAUCCAAGAGAACCCUAAUCCUCUAUCCAUGAUAAAGAUUUUUUUUUUUCAAAACCUCCAUCUUGGAUGGAAGUCUAAAUUGGAACGGAUGAACUAAUCCAAAUGCCAUCUUCUCCAAGACAUAAAUUUUAUAUACUGUUUGUGAUAUUUAAUAAUUUAGACAUAUGUGGACAUGAAAAUUUGAAACAUCAAAUCAAAAAUCAAAUAAACUCUUUGAUUGAGAAGAAAUUUCCAAACUUGAAGAUAUUGAUUAUCUUACAAAAAACCUAAAUAAGCAAAAGCUAGUUGCAUGGAGCUUCUGCUCUUGUUGGAUGGAGCUUUGCUCAACUGCACUUAUUUUGAGUCAAAUUCAUCAUUUUAAAAUCUAUAUUUUUCUGCCAAUUCAAAUCAACCUAAAGUAUUAAAUUCUCCAAAAUUCCAUCAAUUCACAAAAAAGGAAAAUAAAAAAAAAAAGAAAAAGAAAAAGAAAAGGAAAAAGAAAAUCACAAAACGGAUUUUUAAAUAAAAAGAAACUUACAUAAAUCAGUAGUCUGCAACUCGAUUUCGAUUUGAUUUCCGGAAGAAGAAGAAGGAACCUCAUGUAUACAAAAGCUUGCAAUGCUAGUUUUAAUUAAAAAGAAAAAUGUAUUAUAUGUAUACAAUCUAUUUUAUUUUAGAUUAUACUUAAAAGAAUAUAACAAAAAUACCUAGAAUGCAAAUCGAUAUUCGAGGAACUGAUGAACCCAUAAUAAUAGCACGUGCAAUUGAGCAAAUUAUAAUUCAGAAUUUUUUGAUUUUUGUAAAGAAGAUGAAGAAGACCUGAGCAAUGGAGAGAAAUGGUCGAUUGAGUGAAAAAAUAGAGAAAUGGUAUGGCUACAUCUAGUUUGCCCAACACAAUAAAAAAUAAAUAAAAGUAGAGGACGAUAUAUAUUGGAGAUACGUGUCCAGCCAAUGCUUUCGCUCUUUUAUAUAUGUAGGAUAUUGACAAAAUAACGGUAGUUAGGUCAUCUCCAACGCAAGACAUGAAAUUUGUAAUACUUUCAUACAAUUUUGUAAAGUUACUUUCAAUCCAUUAUACCAAAUACUGCAUCAAAUGAAUAAUGUUUCAUUUAUUUCCUUAUCUUUUAAUUAUCAAAAAUUAAUUUAUUUCAAGAAUUAUUUAAUUAUAAAUUAUAUUCUACUGAAAUACCAGAUUAAAAAUUAAAUUAAAUUAACUAAACUAUUAAAUUUAUUAAUAAAUAUAAAAGGCUUUACACUUAAUACGACAAUUGAAAAAUUAUGACACUUAACACACAAAAUAAAUUUUUUACAUACAAUAAAAAAUUAUAUCAUAAAUUUUAUUAAAAGUAAUGAUCAAAUUAAAAUAAAUAAAAUUAAAGUUAAAUCAUCAAGGAUAAAAUUUGUUAGUACAAAAUGAAGAGGAAAAUGGGAAUUAUGAAAAACUCUAAAAGUCAUACUAAAUGAAUAGUGUUGUAGCAAAUUUAGUGCAACAUUGUUAAUUGUACCAACUUGAUGUAAAGAUUUAUGAAUAUUGCUAUUUAUACAUAAUGAUAUUAUAUAAUGAUUUACAUAUAGAUGAAGUGUCAAAAAGAGAUUGUGGAAGAUUUUUUUUAUUUAUUUAAUUGAAAAAUUCUAAAUCAAUUAUAUCAACUACAUUAAACCAUCAUAUAAAUCAUUAUGUAUAUAUAGCACAACUGUAAAUUUAAUAUUUGGUUUGAGUGAUAUUUGCACCAAUGCAAAGUGAUUUGAGAUAUAACUGUAGUAUUCUAGACAAGACAAGUGACGGGGCUUUGCUGCACCAAGUCUUUGAAAUUAUAGUAUAGAACAGAACUUAAACCCUUCAAAAAGAAUGAAAUAUUAUGUCUCAAUUUAUUGUUUGCAGUUUAGUUUUGAAAUUUAUUUCAUUUUAUGUUAUGUAAUUGUGAUCUCGUAGACAUAUUUUAAAGAAGAAUUGAUAAUUUUAAGGGGAUUCAAAGUUCAAUUAUUUAAUGAAAAAAUAUUUCUAGUUUACGUUUGGGCUCUAUUUUUUCAAAUUAUAAUGAUAGGAAUAGUAACUUUUUGAAGAAUUUGUGGUUAAAAAAAAAGGACAAUUUUUUAGGUUUACGAAUAAUAUUAUUUUAUUGGAGAAUGUGUGGUUGAUAAGAAAAGAGAGAAAAAUAAAUUUUAAUUUAAUGGAGACCGAACAGAAGUUAAAAGUGUUCGUUACGAUCAAAAGUCUCAAUUUAGUUAUACUAUGAUGUUACAAAUCAGCUAAUACUUAUUCUUGAUUAUUUUUAAAAAACCAGAAGAUUUUUAUUUUAAAUUCAUGAAGUGUGAACAUGUACAGAUUGAAUCAUAUUCACACACCUAUUUUUAAAAAUAAAUAAAGUGCUUUUAAUGGUAUUUACUUUAUAUAUUUAUUAUGACGCAAUUUUUUUAGCUUAAUUAAUCCAUAAGAAUAAAUAGUGGUUAGCUGUGUACAUGACAGCAUUAAUUAAAUUUAUCAAAAUGUCAUGACUUUUUGAGGAGAAGACGUGUUGGAGAUGAGCAUUCAGGCUCCAUUAUUAUUUAAAAAAUAAAAGUAAAAGAGAAGUAUAAUAUUAAAAAAAGAAUUUAAAAAGAUUAAGAAAAAACACAAUAAUCUUUCCAAGGUGGCUGCCCUCACACCACCACCACCAUCAUAAUCCCUCAUCAACCAUUAAUAUUGAUCGACGAAAUUCACCAAGUACACGAUAUCAUAGAUAAAUAAUAUAAUAAUAAAUAAAAUAUUGUCCCGCAAACAUAUGUACUUAAUCUAGUUUUGAUUAAUAUGUGUUCAAUUUGAUUAAUAAGAAUUCUAAUUGAAUAGCCAAGUUUUGACGAUGAAUUUCUAUAAAUAGUUAACUAACUAAUCUAAUUGAUGAGCAAUUAUUAAAGCUCUUGUUAAACCGAUUUAAAUAUGAACAAAGAUUUCAAAUCCCCAUUUAUUAAUUUAUUUUAUUACAAAGACCAUGACAAUAGUUAUUUAUUCUUGUUGAUUAAUGUUCCUAUUUUGUUUAUAAUCUCUUUCGAGUAUAAUCAAAUAUAUUCUCAAAUGUGACCCUCAUAUAUCUAUACGAAAGAUGCAAACAUGAAAGAAUAAAUUAAAAAUAUUCAAACAACUAUUGAAAUCAUGCAAGACAUAGUAUUAUAUUUUAUCUGUCCUCACAAGAAUUGUUACUAUUUUGCUAUCUUUCCUAUUAUUUAUCUUGGAUAUAAUAAAAAUCACUCAUCAAUCCAAUUAGCGAUCAAUUAAUUGAAAGCGUCAUAUAUAACAAUUUUUCAAGGAAAAGAAAUACUUAACAUCAAAAUCUUGAAAUUAAAAUAAAACUUCAUAAUAAAUGAUUUAUCUAUAUCUUAGCAACUAAAACUUUAGCCUAGCAUUACAAUGUUACAAGAAAUCAUAAAGGAAUAAUCAAACAUAAUCCAAAUUCAAAAUAUAUGAAGAAAGAAAAGAGAAGUCACGAAAUCUUGAAUUUCUUCAAUCUUCCUUGAUAUGUUACCUCUUGACUUACCACAAAAGAAUGAUAUUUUUUACCUCUCUUGAUUGCAAGAAUUUGUAUAGUGUAUGGUAUGAGAGGUGUCUUUAGUUAUUGGAUGAAGAUUUAUAUUUAAAAGCCAAAAUUAGGUCAAAAUCCGUGUUGAAAUUGGUUGAAUCAUCCAAGGAAAGUGUCUCGCCUGGCCAGACUACAGCCACGUGAUUGCAAUAUAUAAAUAUGUGCAAUCGCAUCGUUAAGCACUUUUAUCAUCUGCUUUUGCCAAAUAGAGCGUUGGGAUCACAUCACCUUGUUUCAUGCAAUCACGCCCCUAUAAGUUUAUCAAAUUCUCAAUUUGAUCCCGAAUUUCUUUAUUCAAUCUGAAUCCUUUUUUCAUGUAUGUUUAGUCUUUCAUCUUUUAAUUUUAUUCAGUUUGAUCUCUAUAAUCUGCAGACAUCAUUCUUUGGUUCGAAUUAACUUUUAUACAUUAGUUAGUUCCCAAACUUUGGAAUUCUUCCUUUUUCAUCCUUCUUUGAUUGAUUUUCACUUUUUUUUUUAUUUGAUAUUCGAUGGUAUGACAACCGUUUAUAAUGACCAACAAAAACAAGACACACCACAAUUCGCCUGGACUGUCGACCCAAAUGAGCACUGUAUGUCCAUGCACGACCAUCGACUCCCAUAAGCGCUCUAUGUCCAUGCUUCACUGUCGACUCUCAUGAACACUUUAUGUCUAUACCUGACUAUCGAUCCCCAUGAGUGCUCUACGUCCGUGCUAGGCUGUCGACUCCCAUGGGAUCAUCUACGACUACGUGGCUUGUCCAACACUUAGCCAUAAAAUCGUCAGUAGAUUGGAUGAAGAUCACUUGACGGGGGUCACAAACGCAACCAACUAUCAGAUAGUUGGAGGUCCCCCACUCAGAAUGUGGGAUAGUAGAAGAGGUUACGUGGGACACGUGGCACCGUAACCGCCCAACAUUCCCACGGCUUCAAUCACCUAUAAAUACAUCAAGGCGAAAUAGAUAUGGACAGAGAAAAAAUUUGGCUAUUUGAAUUCCAUUUUUGCUUUCCCUAACACCGUAUACUGAUUCUCAUGCCAGAGAUAAAACGGGGGACAAAGUCUUGCCUUCACUUUUAAGGCAACAUUGGUUCAUCGGAGUAGCAGGAAUACCUUGCGCCGCCAGAAGGGCAUGGAGGUAAUGUUCCACAACUACUUUAUUAUCUUUUUUUCAUCAAAUACAUUUCAAAUUUGAGUUUGUCUUUGAUCAUGAUUUAGAUAAUGUAAUACUUGUGUUUGGUGUUUCAAUUGAUAUUUCACCUAAUAUGUCCUUUGUACUAAGAGAAUGUGCAUCCGUGGAGACAUUUCUUAGUUGAGGCAAGUUAUAUGCAUUGAUGCUUUCUCCUAUGGACUGCAACAAAUCUUGAUCUUGUUUUCUAAAAUCUUCAGGCAUAUGUUCAAAGUAAAGAUCCCAUAAAUUUCUAAAAUCAGUAGGUUCACAAUAAAUCAACAGUGUAGUAAAGAAUCUUCUAAAUGCUCGAGGCAUCUGAAAGGCGACUGCUUCAUCUAAGUAUUUAAUGGUACUUCGAUCGGAUUCAAGAAGCCCUCUUUUUUGGGCCGCUUCUUCAAAAGUCCAAAAUUGACUCCCAUUAACAUUCAUGAGGUCCUCAAAAUACUAUGGUCCUCUUACAAGAUUUAGUAAUAAACAAUAAUAAUAUCUUUUCCCUUCAGUUGGAUUCGCUCCUGCAAUGCAUGAUAUCACUUCUCCUUUUUUCAUCUUUGUCCAUACAUGGGCUUGUCUAUUCCAUACGUAGUGUUCUGGACAUUCUCCAUAUAAGAACAUCGUUCCAUCUUUGUUCUUGUUACACAUUUUGAAAUAUUCAGUCAACAUUGUCCUUGAGACGUGAUCGAAUUGAAUAACUCUAUUUAGAUCUUGGGGUUCUCAAUAAGAUACCGUUUGUUGAUUAGGGAGUUGAAGUUGUAAGUUGAUGACAGCGGGUGACAUUUCAUUCAAUUGGAAUUCAUAAAUUUUCCAUACAGCUUCUUGUGCAAAUACCCAGUUUGCAUCUUGGAAUUCUCGUAUUUCAUUUAUUAUCCUAUUGUCAUCAUCAUGAGAUAUGUAGAUAGCUGUUCUGUCAUGACCUUUUUAGAUAUACUUAUAUAAGUAUUUAACAGCUUUCAAACCGGAACAAAUCUCUACACUAAUAUGAAAAUUAUAUUGUAGAAGCAAAUAUGGAUUGUAAGGAACAACCCAUCUGUUAUCAAAUGUUGCAUUUCAGACUUUCACCUAUGAAUUAGGAAUUGAAGAAAUUUGACUAAUUUUUACGUACGAAUAUCGUAAAUUAAGAAAACUAAUGUUAAUAAGAAUAAUAAUGGUAUUUACCUUAUAUCCAUAAUUUCUUCUUCUAUAUGUUGGAUAUGCAUCAUUUCCUUGCACUGUCUUCGAGGAAAAUGGUCUUGGAUAAUGGAAUCGACAUGUCCCGCUUACUAUACAUGGACAUUUGUUGUUAUAUUCUCCAUAGGGUCCAUGUAGCAUGUGUUUGACAACUACUUUGUAAAGAGUAAAUUUUGUUUCUUUGUCUGGGAUUUCUGCCUACAUAUAUUUGUCAUAUUGGUCAGCAUUUGUGAUUUUGUAACCACUUUUCAAUAUAAUUAAUAUGUGAGCACGUGGAAGUCCUCUUUUUUGAAAUUCAAUCACAUAAACAUAAGCCGCAACUUUGUUAAGAAUCUCUUUUUUCAAUAUUUGAUCUUUUAGGUCCAUUAGCUUUCCUCUAAAGACCCUUGUAGUGAGAUUGGGUCUAUCUUGAGGACGUUGACCUUCUUGGAGUUUGUCUUUUAUUUCUUUCCAUUCCGAAUUACAUGUCAUUGUUAAAAAAAAUCUGGCUUUUCAAAAUGUUGAACUAAUGCCAUAGCAUCCAAGUAAUGAUGUCGCAUGUCUCGUGGACCUCCAAUAAAUGAUGCAGGGAGAAUAAUUCUUUUUCCAACUUCAUCUCUUGUUUCGCCCGCAUUUAUAGUGUCAACGAUUUCCUGAUAUAGUUCUUAUCGAAUGCGUGAUUGUUGUGUUAAGCCUAGUAGUUUCGAGCUUUAUAUACAUGUCAACAAUAUAUUGUUGUAGCAGUCGUCCAAUCCAAAGAAUUAUCAAUUUGCUUGAUGGUCGAAUUUGGAGCUUAUGACAAUAAUGUUCUCGGAAAGAUACUUUUGAUGCUUGGGUUCGGGUAACUCCUGUUAAAAAAUACAAUAAUAUAUAUUAGAUCAUAGUUAUAUGAAAUAUUUUAGAUUAAAUAAAUGCAUUUGUAUGCAAAAAAUGAAUUUCACCAUAGCGUUCUUCUAUGAUGAUAUCCUUUGCAGAAUUAAAUUGAGAGAAAUCGUUGGUGGUUGCAGUUGUACAUACCAUUUUGCUCGUUACAUUAUUUUCAACUCUAUUUCUCUUAAUGUCUUGGUGUCAACCCGCCUCCCCAUUUGGAAAUAGCAGAGGAUAUUGAAGUGAAUCGUAACAACUGAAGUAGUGUCGAAUAAUAUGUCGAUUUCUAGAAUGUGCAUGAACAAUAAUAUUCCUUUCGAAAGGUAUGAGAUCAUCGUUUCUUUCUAUCCAUAGGGCAGCCACUUGAUUGAUGGUCGGUGUAUUGUAUACACGUUGAUCGAUAUUAACAUUGCUUGCAAUAUGUAUCUGUAUAUUGUCAAUGCAUGAUUGAUCCUUUAUGGUACGAAAAAAUUUAGCAUAAGGAUUGUGUUGUAGAAGUUGCAUCAAUUGUUGAACAAUGGUUUUUAUCAAGAUCGGCAUCUCUUAGUAUGUGAAUCAUGUUUUCCAAUUCGUGAUCAACAUUGUAAAAAUACAAUUGAAAAAAUAUAGGUCGUUUUUCUGGUAAAAAAGCUGGAAGAUCAUGGUAUAUUUGCCCGUGAGCUCUAAAUGUGUAAACUCCUUUGUUUGAUGUAGUGAGAUCUUUAUCAAAAUUUACAUCAAAUGAAAUGAAGGAAAAUAUGCUGUUAUAACCUCUCAGAUUUUUUUGACAUAAAAUCCUUUCACUGGACUGUGAAGUAAACAAAUGAUACAAUUCAUUUGGCACUUUGUUUUCAGCAAGUUGGAUCUAAUAAAUGUUGAAUGAAAAAUUUUUAACUGUUAAAUUAUACAAAUGUUUGAUAAUAGAAGGUAGAAACUAUUUGACCUAACCAUUUUGACAACAAAAUGCUGGAGUUUCAUACUCAUUUUGUUGUGCCCCAAAAAGUGCAUGAACGUAUUUUCUUAAGCUCGUGUAUUGGAGAACACCUGUACAAUAUUAAAUGAACUUUGACAACUAAUAUUGGUAAAAAAAUAAUGUAGAUGAUAGUCAAUCCAACGAUCCAAGAGUAAGACCUUGAAUUUUAUUCCGAUUUUGUUCUUGUUUGGUUUCAAUGGAAGAUGAGAUACAACACUUGUUGUCGGUGUCCUCUGUGUAUCUCUUCUUUCUGGAUUCAAUUGUAAGCUAAAUCUUUCUGAUCCUUUGUACUUUUGAGAGCCUUAAAUAUUUUGUUCUUUUAUGUUGGUUAUCAUAUCUAAGGAAUUAUUUCCUGAGACUCGACAACACGAAAAUAAAUGAAUUUAAAGAGUUAUUGAUUAGAGGAGUGUCUUAUAAAGUUAGAUUACAUUUUAUAUGCAUUUAAAUAAUGGAAAGAAUUGAAAUUAUUUAAUUAUAAAUUACUUGAACUUCUAGAAAAAUGAUUACAUGUUAGUAUAUAUGUAGAACCUGAUGAAUUUUUUAAAAUCAAUAUUUAAGUUGUUAAAAUCUCUACGAUUUUAGUGUUUGAAUAUGAAGUGUUUGAGUGUAAAUGUUAGUAAUAUUUGUAAAUGAAUAUACAGUAUAAUCAGAUGUAUAAAAGAACUUCGAGAGGUAAAUAAAAACAUUAAUAAUUAAUAAGUUGAAUAAAAAUAGAAAUGAAGAGGAAAAAUAUUUGUUACCAAACUAUCAGAAUAAUUUUAUUAUUACUAUUACUGUAUAAAUGAUAAACUAAGCCAGCAUAAGCACUAGCAAACAUUUUUCCUUUUUACAACUACCAAAAAAAUCGAUAAAGAAAAACCGAAGCCUGAUGAAUAUCUUUCUUCCUUUUUUCUUUUUUUUUUCCCCCCUCCCUAUUUUUGUGCUGGAAAAGAAUACUAAACAAAAAUAGAGAACAAAUUUAAAAAUCGAAAAAUAGUCAACUAAUAGCUUAAAGUGAAAUUAAUCAAACAAAAGAGAGCCUACUUGGACUUAGAGCGCAGAGAUUGAAGCCAUGAAAAACUUGGUAGAUCUAGGGUUGGCCAUUUGUGGAAGAGCAAAAGUAAAAAAAGUGAAUAUUUUCUGGCUUCAGAAUUUAAUGAAUCACAAUUUUUGGGUUUAAUUUGUUUACAAGUUUUGUUUACUCCACAAUACCACCUGCAUAAUAUGUGUUCGCCUGUGUGAGAGAGAGAGAGAGAGACGGUGUGACGAGAAAUUAAAUGACAAACUGCAGACCAGAAGCUAAAUGGAAAUGAAUGUUAAUUGGGAUACAUGCACGUAAAUACUAAUUAUUUUAGUAUUAAUGACAAUGAAUACAUACAUGAAGAUGAAUGUAAAUUCAUUUAUACUUAAUGAAUAUAAAUUAAUGUCCAAUGAAGUGAUUCAAAAUUCUUGAAUGGAUCGUAAUUAAAGGGUGUGUAUGUGAACCGAUAUAUGGGUACAUGAACUGAAGUUUUUAUUUCUUCUAAUGUUUGUGGAUUUGCGUGAGAUAUUUGGUUAUGAAAAUGAAAAAUUAAUGCUGCUGUAUAUCAGAUUUGAAAUUGCACAUAUAUUCAAUGUAGGUAAAUGUAUUCAAUAUAUAAUUAUGACUAUGUGUGCAUGCAUGCAUUUACGUUAAUGUUUCAGUAUAUUUUCUGGAUAAGAAUUGGAUAAAUAAUUUAUUAUAGCUCUAAAAUAUAUAAAGUGUAUAUGAACUUGAAGACUUCAUGUGGAAUUUAAUAUAUCUAUAAAUAAAUAAAUUAAUGUUUAUUAUUAUACACGUACAUAAAUAAAUAAUUGAAUUGUUGUACUUCUAUAGUAAUUGAAUAGCAUCAAGUUAUACACCAUUUUGUCUAAAUAAUUUUUCCAAGAUCAAAUUUAUAUAUUGAAUGUAUAAUUCUGUGCAUGCAUUUAGGUAAAUGUAUUCAAUUUAUAAUUAUCAUUGUAUGUAUGCAUGCAUGCAUGCAUUUCCGUAAAUUCUCAGACAUCAUUUUAUUCUGAUUUUUUUAUUUUAUUGAUUCAUGCCUAGAAGUUGUAAUAUAAAUCCAGAGUAUAGAAGUUUAGAGAAAGAGGAUUUACUUAUUUUAAAUAGCUUUUGGAAAUGUUGAGAGAGUGAGCUGGUGUUCCUCAGAAUUCUCAUUUUGGAUGGAUUUUAUGGGAGUUGCUUAUUUCGAUAAUAAGUGGAUCAAUUUUGGUUUCACAAGAAGACAACACAAUUAAUGCACAAAAAUUUAUUCCUCAAGUUUAAGAUUAAGAUUAAUCAUUAAUAUGAGGUUUAAAUUAAUUCUCCAAACUACCAUGCAUUUAUUUUAUUUUGUUUUCAAAAAUUAUUCUAUUAAUCUAUGGUUUAAAGUCAUUCUUGAAGUUCAAGUAUACAUUAUUUUGUCUAAAUUAAUUUUCCAAGAUUAUGUGUAUACAUAGCAUGCGUGUCUAGUUUCUUUUGUAAUAAUAAUUGUGAAGAUGAAUAUUAAUUAAAAUGCUUCUUCACUUUCAAGAUUAGUCAGUAAUGUGAGAUCUAAAAUAAAUCUCCAAAGUAUUGUUCAUUUAUUUUAUUUUUCCCCACAAUUUUAAUGAUACAGCAAAUUUGUUUUAAAUAUAAUAUAAACUUUCUCAUAUUAAAUUAUAACUUCAUUAAAUUAUAUAUGAUAAAAUAAUAGGUGUGUUUUGCGUCGAUGUUUCGAACAAAAAUAAUAAUAUGUCUCUUAAAUGAUAAAAUAACAGGUAUGUUUUGAGACGAUGUUUCGAACAAAAAUACUAACAUGUGUUUCUCUAAUCUAAAUCAAUAUUCAAUCUUCUAUUUUUAGUUUCUCGCUGGGAUGGUUCCUUCAAUUAUCUCCUUUGCAUCCACCUUGUAAACUUCUUCGACAAUCAAUUUCUUCCAUGUUCUUUCUUCUCUUUUCUUCACAUCCAUCUUCACCAAGAAUUUGAACUCUUUAUCUUCCGAGGACAUUAGCUUUUUGUAUUAUUUACACAGUUCUUUUUGUUGGUCUGAGAAGAAAAUACCAAUAUAUGUUUUUAUAAAGAUGAGUUAGUCACCUAAUUUUAGUUAGAAGCAAUAUAAUAUGUUGAAAACACAAAAUCUAAAUUAUAUGUUUACCUUUAAAGAGCCUCAGCAUAUUCAAUCACAGUACUUACUAUGAAAGAUUUGGCAGCAUAACAGAUUGUGACGAAACUUCUUGAUUACCAUCUAAAACUAUUAUUCUCAACAAAUACUUUCUAUUAAAAGCUAUGUCCUUAAUUUCACAUAUUGUACAUGUGACGAUUUUUUUAAUCUUCCUCUGGGUAAACUCUUGCACCACACUUGUUUUGAACCUUUAAAAUCUUGCCUAUAAAAGCACAAUACAAUUUAGUCACACUAUUUGUAAUAAUAUCAUCUAAUUUUACGAUACCAUCAUCCACCAUCCUCUUUGUAGGUCCCAAUAGUUUGUACAAUCCUUCACCACAUAGCAAUUUUUUAGUGCUGUAAAAAAAAAAAAAAAAAAAGCAAAAUAAAUCAUCUUUCAGCUAUAUUAAAAUCUGUUUUAAUUUAGUAGUAAUGUAAAUAUAAUCGUCAUGACUAAAUAAACCAUGCUCACCUAUUUUUAAUAGCAUUAGUUUCUUCAAGUUGCGGAUUGAUCUCAAUGAUACUAAUAUUUGAAGUGGAGAUGUUUAGUUCAUUUGUUUGAUAGACAUUAGUAAGAACGCGGCAUAGAUUGUUGAUUUUAGCAUACAACUCUUUUUAAUAUGAUAAUAAAAUAAUUAUAAAGUAUCACCUUCAUAGUAACUUGCUCUCACACUCAAAGUUGCAAUAAGUGGUAUUGAACAGCAUCUUCCAUAAACUUUCCUUCGUUGUUAGCCAAAUCUCCCCCACAAAUGUAAUUUCAUUGUAUUACACCUGUACUAAAAAAAAAAAAAAUUGUUGAGUAAAUAAUAUUAUAAAGUUUAUCUUCUUUUUAUUUGAUUAAAAAAAAUUGUUUGAUUUUAUGGAUGAUGUUUACCCAUUGUCUAGGAGAAUCACUUCCCGUUUCUUCGUUGUUCUUUCACUUGGCCUCUUAACGUUGAUGAUGAACGUAGGUUUUACUUUGACAGCAAAUCCUAUAAUAUCUGAAAACAAAAAAGAAAAAAAAUUUCCAGAAAGAAUUCAUUAGCCAAUGGAAAAAAAAACCUUAGAUAUCAUGAAUUUCUGUUUUCACUAAUGUCAUGUGGAGUGUUCCCUUUUUUUUCCCCCUUCUUCAAUAAAUAGCUUAAUAAAAUAGGACCUGAUAUAAAAUGUGGGUAGAGUUUUUUGAAUAUUAGAAUUAAUACUUAGUAAGACUCUCCGAACAUUAUUGUAAACUAUGCAUUUGACUAAAAAAUAUAAUUACAAUGACGAUAUCUCCGCUAGCAAAAUUUGGUACUUCAUUGAAUUGAAGAUAAGAGUUUGAUAUCUUAUAGCAUAUGUGUUCUUCAAUCUCUUCUACUUUCGUUGUAGUUGUGAAAGACAAUUCGAUUUCACCAUUCACAUUUUGGUAUUGACAGGUCAUACGUUUUUAUUUCGUAUAAUGUAAGAUUUCCCCUUUUCAAUUAUAGCAUCGAGCUUUUGAACUGCAUCAUUGAAUAACAUGGCUUGAAUUUUAUAUCCCUAUAGAGAAAUCACUAUGUUACUUCUAAUAUACCCGAUUGAAUAAACUCAAACAUGAAUAUACCACAUAAUCAUUACUCCAUUACCAUCAAAACUAAAUUCAAAUAAUCCAGUGUAGCAUAAAUAUUCAGUGUAUAUCAAGAGCAAAUAUUUAUUCACUACAACCUAAGUCGUCAGAUUAGAACCUAAGUCAUCAAAUUAGUAAAAUAAAAGUUUUUUUCCUUUCUUUCCUUCCUCUGAUCUCCACACCAUCUCAGAUUCUCACUAUUAAUUUUACUGUACAAAUAUAAAAGUCAAAAACAUAAGAUCCUAUAAGAUAAAUUAAAGUAUUCAUGAUAAAGCAAAAGACUUUUAGAAACACGUAAAGAUAUGAGGGAAAUGAAAUAUUUAUGCCAUGUCAAUAUUUGAAUCUCGAAGAUGAAUUCAGAAUUAUUAAAUAUACGGGUCAUCAUAGUAGAUAUAUUACCUCCUUGUCAAUUAGGAUGAUCUUCAAAAGAUCAAAAUUUCCAGCAUUUUGGAAUAAAAUUUGACUAAAUCCUUUCGAACUACCGUCACUUUAAUGUACCAUUCAUUUUCAUACGCCGAUAAAUCUCUUAUAGCCUUUGAUUCCAUGAAGGGGGAGAGCAAAAUAUUUGAUGAUUUGAUUGAAAUGUGACAACAACCAAUUUGUGAAAAUAAUUUAAAUAGUUGAGGGAUUAGUUCAUUUAUGUCUAAAACUCAUGAUAACAAUCAAAUUCAUUCAUGAACAUGAAAUCUAAUUAAUUCCAAUUGAUGCUGUUGAUGCAUGUCACAUAUAUACAAUGUAUGAUUAUCACUUUAUGUGUGAAAGCAUGCAUUUAGGUAAAUGUAUUCAACAUAUAAUUACCACUAUAUGUGUCCAUGCAUGCAUUUACGUAAAUGCUUUAGUAAGAAUUGGAUAUACAAUGUAUAAUUAUCACUUUAUCUUUCAAUUUCUAAAUCUUUAAUUGAGUGUCAUAGGACUCCUUGGCUUCUGAAAUCAUCAACCUAGCAACUUGAUUUUAUCCUUGACCACCUUUUCGAACAGCCUCAACACGUCCUCAUAAUUAUUAUACAUGCAUGUAAAUAAAUAACUGAAUCGUAAUAGGGCUUGUAAGUAGUAGUGCUAGAAUCGUCCAAAAAAUGAUUUUCCCUCCAUGUGAUAUUUAGUAUAUUAUAGAUUUUUAUCCCCAACAACUUGCAUAAUAGUUAUGUAGGAAAUCAUCAUUUUUGUUAAAUCAAUUAUAUGAUUUACUUUUCUUUCAGUUGAGAAGAAAACCGAGAAAAUUUGUUUUAGGUGAAUAGAAAAAUCAAAUAGAAAAUAUUUUGCUUAUGUAGAAGAAAUAAAUGAGGAUAAUUUCUUACCGUACUUGUUGGUCCCAAUCGAUCUUUCAACAAUUAAUUUUAGGCACAAAUUUCAUAAGAUCCAAAAAUUUUCAACCACAUUUCAUCAAUUUUUAUCAGAAUCUACUAAAAUACACCAAAUAAGGGCUUAGUUCGUUUGUAAUAUUAUUGUCCAAUGAGAAAAAGUUCUUCAACAAUUUGACGUGUAAAUCGACAUUGAAUACGUGUAAUACAACCGACAGCUCAUUAUAAGUAUGUUAAUUGUCGAUAUAAAAAUCAUCAACCAAGUUUAAAUUGUAUGUUAUUUGAGCAGGUAAUAAGCAACAAAACAAGGCAUGGCAUUCGCAGAGGAUAGAAUUUAGUUAAUUGGAACAUCAAAUCACCUACAUUGUUCUUGCCCAAAAGGAAACAAUGUGCUUGUAAAUAAUUUAUAGACCUUUCACGAUUAACCAUUUAAGCUGUGCAGUGACUAUUUUAGCUUUAGACAUUCUCUUUCUUUCCAUUCUAUUCUUGCUUUCAGAAGUAAAACGUAACAUCUGCGAGAAAUACAAAAUUGCAGAUUUAUGGGGUAAAAAUCAAAAGAAUGUCUCUUAACUCACACUAGACGGCCUGCUGCAUCAUAUACUCGCUCCCUGAUGCACUGAAGCUUGUAUGGGACAAGUGCAAAUCCGAUCCCUACAAAAGAUAGCUUUCAGAAGCCCAAUGCUUAAACUCAUGUGAUGAACUCAGCAUCGGAGAUUCAAAGAGAUAGGAUGAACAUCACUUUCACUUAUUACUCAAGGUAAGUUACUGGGUUUAAAACAAAUUCACAACGAGUGAAGGUGAAGAUGAAUCCAUGAGUAGUAGUAGUACAAUAUACGAAGUUUCAUACUUCAUGAUAUUUUAUUUCAAGCUCCAUAGGUACAUUUUUGUAGCACGGGACACGUAUCCGAAUUGAUAUCAUAUAUAAUCCUCAAACGCCUAAAAUUCUUGGGCAGACUAGCUCUUUCACAACUCAUAAUGUCUCAAAUUCGUAUGUUUACGAGAAGUGAUAAAUACCCUUGGAUGUAUCGGCACUGGUUAUUCCCGUCCGUUUCUAUGGCAUGUAAUAACUAUUGAGUCUUUUUCACAAAACAAAGGGUAGUUAAAGAUUGGAGAACUUUUCUAUCAUUGUCCAUAAAUUAAGGAAAUCAAACCAAUUAUAUGCUACCAUAAAUUAACUUACUUGCACUGUUCCAUCUAAGUUCUGAGAGUCUCUCUAAAUAAUUUACUAGCGACCGCUGUCAGUUGAUCAUGUGCAUUUUGAAUCUUAUGCUUUUCUCUUAUGGUCAACUUGAUAUCCACAAAAGACUGUAGAAUGAAGAACGAAGUUAUGGUUACAUUAUUAAAAGUUACUGUUAAGAUGUAAUCCCGAAUAUGAGGUAAUAAAAUAACAUUUGACACAAAUUUAUCAUCCUUACCAGUAAUGCGCUCAGGUUUUGCAAUAUAUUCUUAAUUUGCAUUUCGCACGACGAAAGAAUUUGUCGAAUUUUGACAUCUACAUCUAUAAGGAGAAGCAUAGAGAUAAUGGUACCUACUCGAACAAUCGAUUUUGGAGGAAGUCUGACUAUCACUACCAAGCAAUGAACAAAUCUCAGAAACACAAGACGCCAUCAUGUUUAACACGAGACUUAGAGGCCUGUUGCUCCUAUGGAACAUAAAAAAAAAGGAGGCGGUGGAUAAUGUUCUCUUCUCUUUACACUAAUAGCAGUACAGGAGUCGUGAUUGUCUUCCUUGAAAAAGAUAUAAUUCGUUCCAACCAACACCUAGAGGCGGGGUGAAUAGGUGUUUAUGCGGAAUUUAAAUCAAUUAAUUAAUUCAUGCAACAAGUCACAUAAAUUAAGCAUUGCCUAGAUUCAUUCACAUACUUUUAUCUACCUAAGUUGAAUUUUCGGUUGAAAAGUAGAUAAAGAAAAACAAUAAAAACAAUAAAAACACCACAAAAUGUUGACGGAGAAAACCCAACUAGGUAAAAACUCCAGGCACAAGCCAGUAGAGAUUCACUAUCGAAGAUAUUGACUUACAGUACGCCAGACACAAUUGAUACUACCAAUUCUCUGACCUCCUUAGUGUAUCAACCAAAGCUCUCCUAGAUUCUGCAGAUCUACGCCAAAAUCCCAGCCUUGAAUAUCUUCAACCUCUCGUGAAUCACCAAGCACUUCUGCUCUUCAAGCAAUUUCCUUCCCGGAUCUUCAAACUGAUGAUCUUCUGAAAGUUGGUAAGGAGUAAUGAAACGAUGUUUUGAUUUUUGUAAAGAUUGAUGUUUUUACUCAAAGAAACAAAAGAUGAAAAGAUGAAAGAUGAAAAGAAUGAAUUUGUUUGUUCUUGAUCCUUUGGAAUUUGAGAGGAAUUGAUGUUUUGUGUUUGCCAAAGGUUCACAAUGAAAAAUCGGACGUUUUGUUUAUAUACUAGGUCGAAUUUGGAAAUAUGGAGUGUUAAAAAUUCGCGAGAAAUUAAAAUUAGUAAUGGCCAGAUAACACGAUCGCUCGAGCGAGGCGCUGGCGUAACUCGAGCGACGCACCUUCGCUCGAGCGACUGUCCAGCGAAACUCCAGCGAGGUUGGUUCUGCAAUUUAAGCUUGAGUGAGGUCAGGGCGAAACUCUAGCGACAUCAACGCGCCGUUUGCAACUUCAAAGUAUCCACCUUUACCCUAGAUCCAUGCAAUAAAAUUUAUUAAAUUGCAACUCUAGUCCCUGAACUAUUAGACCUUUACAAUUUAGUCCCUGAUGUUACAAACAUGACAAAUAGGUCCUUUGGUCACAGAUUGCCAAUUACACAUUUUCCUAACAUUCCUGAUAAUUCUGCAUCAAGAUGAUGGAAUUCAAUUAUAGCACUGGAGUUUACCAACCCCAGGAUAAAUUAAAUAAGGCAUUAAAAUUCCAACAAGAGAUAGGAGCUGCAUCAACUUCGGAAGAAAUUAUGUACAAUCGAGAUAACUAUGCAAUGUUUGCAUGCUAUCACGAGUGAUGCUUAAUGAAAAGCUGCAGGAGUACAAUUUGAAUUUAGAUGGCCUCAAAAGAAACAGCUACAAGGCUUCCAUCCAAGCAAGCAAUUUUAGUCUUGAGGUUUUUAAGAUACAAGCAUUAUUUCGCAACAACUACCUAUUUAUGUUUAAAUAAAUAGUCUAUUUGACAAUUACUCUCCCUGUCCCAUGUUAUUCUUCUUGAUUACUAUUUGAGUUUGUCCUAAAAGUUAUUCUGGUUACCAACUUGAGAUUCUAAAUUCUGAUUAUACACCUUGUCAUGUUAUAGUGGGACAAAGCUUAAACUAAAGAUAAGAAAUAAACUACCCACUGCAAUAUUAAAUGGAAGUUCAACUUGGGACAGACUUGAAUCGUCAAAAUUGACUUUUCUUCAGAAUUUGACCACUUCUACGCUCAUAUACUUCGACCUACUCAUACAAAAGCUGUAAGUGUUAUGCCCUAAAUCUAAUCGAUUUAAAUUAUAAACACUUUUAGUAUGUUUAACACAUUUAUUUUUGGCAAGAUCUAUUAUUUAUUUAAAUUAAUAUUCUGAUGAAUAAUAUUAAAUAAUAGAAUUCGAAGAUUUAAGUUUCAGUAAUUUGUUAAUUACAAGGAGUUGUGAUUGUGAGAUGCAAAUUACAUCUGAUAGUUCUUAAAUAAUCCAUUGUCGUAAGUAAUGACGAGAUACGGAUAUCGUUAUUACGGAUAGACCAUCAUGUGUAGCAUUUAUUACUUGUGAAGUAAGUAGUCGAUCUUACAAGCUAAAGUGUGGUAACACUUAAAUAAACGCGUGGAUGUUUUCUUAUAGAACAAAACAUUGGAAAUCUGUUAGGAGAUUCUACAUGGAUAAUUAUCUGAGUGUCAGUGAUUAAUUUCUAACGUUCGGUGGUGGAAUUGGUCCUUUGACUUGAGGUCAUCAUAGUGCCUUAUAUGAGGAUAGUCAUACUUUCACAGUGUUGGAUGUUGCUCUGCCAAUGGCCGCUAAUAUGGCAUUGCUCGGGUAUGUCAAGAAUCAUAUGAAGGUUGUGAAUGACCAAUAGAGGAUUCGUCACUCUUAGAUAGUAAGAGAUUAUGAUCCACAAUUUAUUCAAUUAUGUCGAUAACGAAAUUCUUGACCAAGGUGUACUGAGACGUCAAAAAGGAGUUUUUGACUUAUAUUGACUUAAUAGUGGAAUGAAAGAUAUGAUCAUUAAUCGGGAUUGACACACUUCCAUAUCUUGUAAUUGAUCGAAUCAUAUUGACGAAAAGAUUAUAGUUUCAUAGUAAACGAACUAGUUUGGUUUUGUCAUACCACGUGACAUUUCCCGUCACAUGCAUUACCUUGACACAUUGCUAGAUAUCAAUCUGGUACGGCGAGUGUGAACUGGUAUAAAUUAUAAGGAUGUUUUAAUUUAUCAAUUUUGAUUAGAUAAAAAUAAUAUUUCACUUCGUUAGAUUUCGUGACCGGGAACCUGAUGGAUAGCACACAAAAAGAGAAUUGGAAGAUUGUAAUUCGUCAAUUAAUUAAUUUAACAAUCGUUGGAUAAAUUAAUUAAUUGGAUUGGUUAUUUAUAGGCCCAAUUAAUUCACAGACCGGAUUUAAUUAAAUUGAUUAAUUAAAUAUUGGAUUGGGUCAGACCAAACUCAUUUGGGCUUAUAUAAAUAUAUGACUAAGGUUUUCAAUUUGUAGAGAUUCUAGUAUUUUUGCUAGCACAAGAGGAGAAAAUUCUAGUGGCUACAAUUUGUUCUCUGUGUGGAAUUCCAUUAGAAGUUAGACAAUUGGACAGUUUUGGGUGGCAGAUCAAGCUAGGCUGCUGAAACAAGGGAAAAGCAAAAGAGUUUGUAGAUCUCGAAAAGGCUUAACUUUUACCACAAUUCUUAUCUAAAUAUAAAAAUGGUUCUUGGUGGGAAUUGAAAUUAGUUUUUAUUCGGUUGUGCAUAAUAAGUAAAUUUCCAACAAUGGCAUCAGAGCCAACUUUGUGUUUGUUAAGAAUUAAUUUACAUAUUGAUAAAAUCAAAAGUUGAUUUAUUUAUGUUUUUCUUGAAUCUAGCAAUUGUAUUAUUUUAUCUUCAAAAUUAGUUUUGAAAAAAAAAUGGUUGGUUUUGGCGGCUCGCAUCGCUGUUGGUUGCAGCGUGCGUUGUUGUAGCCGGAGGCGGUAGCCCCUACCGUGUAUUGGGCUGCCAGCUUCGUUCAAGGAAGUAUGAAUUUUUUUUAUUUUUAUUUAUUUAUUUAUUUUGUUGUUGUUGUUGUUGUUAAGAUUUAGGGUUUGGAAAUCAGUUUAAGGACGGGGGCCUCUUCUGAAAUUUGAGUAAUUUCAGGGGCUUCCUACAAUGAUCGAAGAGGGUAAAAACUUGCAAUUUUAAAUGGAGGGCUUGUCAUGUAAAUUUCGAAUUUGGGGAGACUUUGUUAUAAUUUCUUUAUUGGGUCAAAUUGCAAAUUUCAAAGGGGAUUUAAAUUCAAAUAUUAAAAUGGUUUUAAAGUUGGAUUUGUAAUUGGAUUUGACCCGUAUUUAUUAAUUUGGCCCAAAAUUGAAAUUUCUUUUAAAAUUGAUGAUUUCUUUUUAUUUUGUUAAAAUUAGAUUUUAACUUAAACAUUUAAUUUUGACCCUAAAUUGAACUUUGUUUUAUUUAAGAAUUUUGUCCUAAAUUAAAAUAUUAAUUCUAUUUUAUUAGAUUUGGACUCUAAUCCAAUGUUAAUUAAAAUUUGAUUUUAAUUAAUAAUAUUCCCCAAUAUAUAUUAAAAUUAGAGUAUGACUCUAAUUUAAUAAUUAAUUAAAAUUUGAUUUUAAUUAAAUUAUUCCACCCUAAUUUUUUUUAAAGAAUUAGAGUUUGACUCUAAUUUAAUAUUUAAUUAAAAUUUGAUUUUAAUUAAAUAACUUUGUCCAAUAAUUAUGGAAUUAGAGUUGAACUCUAAUUCAGGAUUUAAUUAAAAUUUGAUUUUAAUUAAAUAGGCCCGCCAAUUAAGUUAAUUAAUUAAUAUGAUUAAUUAAUUAUUUAACAAUUUUUUAAAUGAGUUUUGUCGACUAUAAUUACUAGAUUCUUGUGACUUGCAUAUAAUAUUAGUUAUUAUAUAGGAAACAUUUAUGUGAUGAAUGUCUAUUUAUGGAUGAUUAUAGACUCGACAAUGUGGAUGUGUUGAAUGGUUGAUUUAAUUCUUUUUGUUUUAUAGGUCUGCGAGCUCAUAAUUGUUUUGGACCUGCUAAUUCGUUAGUAUUAUUAUUGUUAUGGGCCUGCGAGCUCUUUAUUAUUUUUGGACUUGUGAGUCCGUUGUUGUUAUUAUUAUUGGCCUGCGAGUCCAAUUUCAUUUAGGCUUGCGUGCCAACUGGUAUAGGGUAUAUGUUGCAGCUGAACUAAUUGAAGGUGCGAGAAAAGGAAAAAACUAUGGAGAUGGUGUAUUGAUAUCGAUACAAUGCUAUACUCCCUAGGAAUUGAGCAACUAAUCUUCCCUUUGGCUCGAGAAAACUAGAUAGAAUAAGUGCAUAAUCAUCCAUCCAUAUAUAUAUAUAUAUAUAUAUAUAUAGAUAUAUAUAUUUGAUGAGACCAUUGCAUGGUAAAUCCCUCGUUAAAAUAUUAAGUCGUUAUUAUUUACCUUUCGUCAUUAUAGUGAAAAACGAGAAUCCUAAAUCGAUAUCAACUUGUUGAAUACAUUCAAGGCUGGUCUAUUAGGGAUAUGUUUGACACUAUAAAAUAUUUGAUAUUUUUGAAUGAUGGGUUUGACUUAACAAAAAUUUAUCUUUUGUUAAGUAUACUCAAGGAGAUAAGUUUUAGAGAAAUGUUAAGCUAACACAUAAGAUGUAUGAAUACAAGGAGUUGUCGGCUUAAUGAUCUGAGAGUUGUAUGAAGAUACAAUUGAUAAUAGUAUCUACCCAAAUAUUUUAUUAAGGUUUGUUGAGUACACUCAAGACCUUGAUGUAACAGAGGGGAUCCCAACCCACUGGGAAUCAAAUGUGGAUUCCAAUCAUUUAUGUAUGAGGGCCAUGAAUUCAUUUUAAACAAUGGGAGAACGUUUAGUUGAAGACAUAUUAAAUUUGUGCAAUACAUUACAAUACAUAUUAAUUCUUUAUUUUUUGUCAUUUACGAUUUUUUAAUCAUGAGUAAUCAUAUGAAUUUGAGAGGCAUAUUGGAUGCCAACAAACUGACCGGAUCAAAUUUUCUCGAUUGGCACCGCAAUUUAAGAAUCGUUUUCAAGCAUGAGAAAAUUGGGUAUGUCAUUGAGCAGUCCCUUCUAGGGUACCUACUAAAAACUCCACUAAGGAAGAGGACACACAAUGAUGACGAUAACAAUGCAGGAUGCGUGAUGGUUGCGGCUAUGUCACCUGAGUUGCAAAAGCAACAUGAGAAUAUGGAUGCUUACACUAUAAUUUUUCAUCUCAAGGAGUUGUAUGAUGAACAAUCACAUGUGGAGAGAUAUGAGACCUCCAAGCAAUUGUACUAGUGCAAAAUGGCAGAGGGAUCUUCAGUCAGUGCUCAUUUGCUGAAGAUGAUUGGUUUCAUUGAGAAAUUGGCUCAAUUGGGUUAUAUCAUGGAUCACAAACUAAGUAUUGACUUGUUCUACAAACUCUGCCGGAGAGUUACUCAUAGUUCAUCAUGAAUUUCAAUAUGAAUAAGAUUGAAUACACACUCCAUGAGUUGCUUAAUAUGCUUAAAACUAUGGAACCCAAUGUCAAGGCUAGCACUGGGCAUGUCUUAGCCAUUUAAUCUUCCAAGGACACCAAGAGGAAGACCAAAGGAAGUUUUAAGAAAAUAUCCAAGAAGACUAAGGGCAAUAACAAAGUAGUCAAAGUAAGCAAGGAAAAUAGCAAAUCUGAUGACCCGUGCUAUCAUUAUGGAGUGAAAGGUCAUUGGAAGAGAAACUGCAAGGCUUACCUCGCAAGUUUGAAGGAAAAAAAUCUUCUAAAACUUCUACUUCAGGUAUUUUUGUUAUCGCGGUUAAUAUGUCUACUUCAUUAGCUUUUUGGGUAUAAGAUAUCGGAUGUGGAUCUCAUAUUUGUAUAAAUAUGCAGGGACUAAAAAGAAGUAGACCACUGCAGAAAAAAAAAGUUGACCUGCACGUGGAAAAUGGAGCAAGAGUUGCUGUAUUAGUUGUAGGGACAUACUUCUUACCAUUGCCUUUGGACUUAGUAUUAGAAUUAGAAAAUUGCUAUUUUGUUCCCGCCAUUACUAAAAUCAUUAUUUCUAUUUCGUGUUUGGACAUGAAUGAUUUUUCAAUUAAUGUUAAGAACAAUUGUUAUUCUUUUAUAAAGAGAGAUCUUUUAUGGUUGUGGUGUGUUGCAAAAUGGAAUUUAUAUUCUUGAUACUUAGUCAUCUAUUAUGAGUAUAGAAAAUAAAAGGCAUAAAAGUAAUAAUUUAAAUAAUACCUAUAUUUGGCAUUGCAGACUGGGUCAUAUCAACGACAAACGUAUUUUCAAGUUACAUAAAGAUGGAUACUUGGUGUCAACUGAUUUUGAAUCAUUUGACAAAUGCGAGUCGUUCCUAUUAGGUAAAAUGACCAAAUUUCCUUUUACUGGAAAAGGCGGGACUAAUACAUACGGAGGUAUGUGGACCCAUGUCAAUCACUGCUAGAGGUGGUUUCUCUUACUUCAUCACAUUUACUGAUGAUCAUUCUAGACAUUGUUAUGUAUAUAUGAUGAAAUUCAAGCAUAAAGCACUUGAAAAGUUCAAAAAAUUCAAACUUGAAGUAGAGAAACGGACAUAUAAAAAUAUUCUCACGUUGAGAUCAGAUCGAGGUAGAGAAUACUUAAAGGGAGAAUUUUUAGAUUAUCUAAAAGAGAAUGAGAUUCUCUCGCAGUGGACUCCACCAUAUACACCGCAAUAUAAUGGUAUAUCUGAACGGAGGAAACACACAAUAUUAGACAUGGUGCGAUCAAUGAUGAGCCAUGCAAACAUCCCAAAAUCGUUUUGGGGUCAUGCACUAAUUGCUGCGUGCUACAAACUGAAUCGUGUCCCAUCUAAAUCGAUCAACAAAACUCCAUAGGGUUAUGGAGAGGAAAAAGACCCAACUUAUUUCACAUGAAAGUUUGGGUCUAUGACGCUUAUGUGAAGAGAAAUGAAUCGGAUAAACUUGAGGCUAAAUCUGAUAAAUGCAUAUGUGUGGGAUAUCCAAAAGAGACAAUUGGAUAUCAGUUUUAUAAUCUCGUUGAGAAGAAGGUGUUCAUUUCAAGACAUGUCAUAUUCCUAAAGAAAGAGUUAAUUCUAAGAGAGGGUAGUGGAAGCAAGAUAGAACUUGAAAAAGUUCAAAAAUCCACAGAUACUGUUGACCAAUUAGAUGAACCUGAAUAUGAUCCUACAGUUGCUGAUGGACAGACUUUUGAUCAAGAUUUAGAGACUCCUGAGGACACUCCAGCUCAGUAUAAAUCAAGUAAGAUCAUUCAACCUCCUAGAAGGUACGAAUUUACAAUUACUAAUCAAUUAUUAUUAGUUGAUGACGAUGAACCUACAAAUUAAGCAGACGUGAAGUCAAGUGUUGACUCAAAGAGAUGGCAAGAGACCAUGAAAUCCGAAAUGAACUCGAUGUAUGAGAAAAAGGUUUGGACCUUGGUUGAUCUUCUUGGUGGGAUAAAACCCAUAGGUUGUAAAUGGGUUUACAAGAAAAAUGUCGGUGUGGAUGGAAACGCCCAUACAUACAAAGUAAGACUAGUAGCAAAAGGUUACACACAAAGAUAAGGUGUUGACUUUGAUGAAACCUUUUCACCUGUAACCAUGCAGAAUUCCAUUCAAAUUUUACUUGCAAUAGCUGUAUACCAUGAUUAUGAGAUAUGGCAAAUGGAUGUCAAAACUACUUUCCUUAAUGGAAACUUGCAGGAGGAGGUAUUUAUAACACAGCCAGAAGGUUUUGAAUCCAAAGAAGCCAAUAAGGUAUGUAAGCUUAAUCGAUCCAUUUAUAGAUUAAAGCAAGCCUCUAGGAGUUGGAAUCUUCAUUUUGUUGAGACAAUCAAAAAGUUUGAUUUUAUCAAAAAUGAAGAUGAACCGUGUGUUUACAAGUAGACAAGUGGGAGCGCGGUCGUAUUCCUAAUAUUAUAUGUCAAUGACAUCCCCAUGCUUAAAUCGGUAAAAUUAUGGUUGUCAAAGAAUUUCUCCAUGAAAGAUAUGGGAGAAGUAACGUAUAUUUUGGGAAUCAAGAUCUAUAGAGAUAGAUCUAAAAGAUUGCUUGGCUUAUCCCAAUCUUCGUACGUAGACAAAAUCUUGAGAAGAUUUAACAUGGAAGAGUCCAAGAGAGGUUUUUGUCCUAUGUCACAUGGGAUUUACCUCUCAAAAGAUAUGUUUCCUAAAACACAUGAUGAAAGGAAUCGCAUGGAUAAAAUUCUUUAUGCUUCAGCGAUAGGAUCUAUCAUGAAUGUGAUGCUAUAUACGAUACCAGAUGUUUCAUAUGCUCUAAGUGUUAUGAGCAUGUUUCAAGCAAACCCUAGUGAGAAACACUGGAUAGGGGUUAAGAAUAUUUUUAAGUACUUGAGAAUGACUAAAGAUGUGUUCUUGAUAUAUGGAGGAGAUGAACUAAAGGUUCAUGGGUAUACUGAUGCUAGCUUUCAAUCUGACAAGGAUGAUAGCAAGUCUCAAUCUGGAUAUAUAUUUACUCUCAACAACGGAGCGGUUAGUUGGAAAAGUUCCAAACAGGAGACAACCGCUGAUUCAACAACGGAAGCCAAGUACAUUGCUGCUUCUAAAGCAGCAAAGGAAGCUAUCUGGAUCAAGAAAUUCAUUAAUGAACUGGGAGUUGUUCCUAGUAUUGUUGAUCUUAUACUUUUAUAUUGUGAUAACAAUGGAGCCAUCCCACAAGCGAAGGAACCAAGGUCUCAUCAAUGAUCCAAACAUGUGUUAAGGCGAUAUCAUCUCAUCAGGGAGAUUAUACAAAGAAAUGACGUAAAGAUAAAACGAGUUCCCACAGAUGAUAAUAUUGCAGAUCCAUUGACAAAGCCAUUGUCACAACAGAAACAUGAUCGUCAUGUGGACGCUUAUGGUAUUAACUACAUGAGUGAUUGGAUCAAGUGCAAGUGGGAGUUUGUAAAUGUUACGCCCUAAAUUCAAUCGAUUUAAGUUGUAAACACUUUUAAUAUGUUUAAUUCAUUUAUUUUUGGCAAGAUCUAUUAUUUAUUUAAAUUAAUAUUCUGAUGAAUAAAUAAUAGAGUUCGAAGAUUCAAGUUUCAGUAAUUUGUUAAUCAAAAUGAGUUGUGAUUGUGAGAUGUAAACUACAUAUAAUAGGAUCUUAAAUAAUCUAUGGUCGUAAAUAAUGACGAGAUACGGAUAUCGUUAUUAGGAAUAGAUUAUCACGUGUGAUAUUUCUUACUUGUGAUGUAAGUAGCUGAUCUCAAAAGCUAAAGUAUGGUGACACUUAAAUGAACGCGUGGAUGUUUUCGUAUAGAACAAAACAUUGGAGACCCGCUGGGAGAUUCCACAAGGAUAACUAUCUGAGUGUCAGUGGUUAAUCUCUAACGUUCAUUGGUGGAAUAGGUCCUUUAACUUGAGGUCAUUAUAGUGCCUUAUAUGAGGGCAAUCAUACUUUGACAAUGUUGGAUGUGAUAUUUCUUACUUGUGAUAUAAGUAGCUGAUCUCAAAAGUUAAAGUAUGGUGACACUUAAAUGAAUGUGUGCAUGUUUUCGUAUAGAACAAAAAACAUUGGAGAUCCGCUGGGAGAUUCCAUAAGGAUAACUAUCUGAGUAUUAGUGGUUAAUCUCUAAAGUUCAGUGGUGAAAUUGGUCUUUUGACUUGAGGUCAUUAUAGUGCCUUAUAUGAGGGCAAUCAUACUUUGGCAAUGUUGGAUGUUGCUCUGCCAAGGGUUGCUAAUACGACAUCACUCGGGUAUGUCAAGAAUCAUAUGGAGGUUGUGAAUGACCAAUAGAUGAUUCGUCACUCUUAAAUAGUAAGAUAUUAUGAUUCACAAUUCAUUCAAUUAAGUCAAUAACGAAAUUCUUGACCAAUGUGUACUCAAAAGUUGAAAAUGAGUUUUUGACUUAUAUUGACUUAACAGUGGAAUGAAAGAUAUGAUCAAUAAUCGGGAUCGACACACUUUCAUAUCUCGUAAUUGAUCGGAUCAUAUUGACGAAUGGAUUAUAAUUUCACGAUAAAUGAACAAGCUUGGUUUUGUCAUACCACGUGACAUUUUCCAUCACAUGCAUUGUCCUGAUACAUUACUAGAUGUCAAUUUGGCACAGCGAGUGUAAACUGGUAAUAAAUUAAAAGGGUGUUUUAAUUUAUCAAUUUUGAUUAGAUCAAAAUAAUAUUUCACAUCAUUAAGCAUCAUGAUCAAGAACCUAAUAGGUGGCACACAAAAAGAGAAUUGGAAGAUUGUAAUUUGCCAAUUAAUUAAUUUAACAAUCGUUCGAUAAAUUAAUUAAUUGAGUUGGUUAUUUAUAGGCAUGAAUUAAUUAAUUAAUUCACGAACUGGAUUUAAUUAAAUAUUGGACUGAGCCGGACCAAGCCUAUUUGGGCUUAUAUGAAUACAUGACUAGGGUUUUCAAUUUGUAGAGAUUUUCAUAAUUCUUGCUAGCACAAAAGAAGAAAAUUCUGGUGGCUACAAUCUGUUCUGUGCGGGGAAUUCUAUUGGAGGCUGGACAAUUGGAUAAGUAUGGGUGGCAGAUUAAGGCUGCUGAAACAAGGAAAAAGUAAAGGAGUUUGCAGAUCUCAAAAAGGUAUAACUUUUAUCACAAUUCUUAUCUAAAUAUAAAGAUGAUUCCUGAUAGGAAUUGAAAUUUGUUUUUAUUCCGCUGUAUAUGAUAAGUAAAUUCCCAACAAAAUUAGCGAUAUAGCUUAUGUUGUUUUGUCAUCGACUUACCUAAGCAGUUGACAUAGUAAUACAUCAAUAAUCUAUCUAGAAUAGUUCACCUUUCUCAACUGAUAUCGAGGCCACAUGAAGGACUAGCGUAGCAUAUCUCCAUGUUGAUCCUCGAGCAACUCCAAUAUAGUAAUAAAACUAUCAAAGCAACUGUCUCAAGUACAUUUACUUGCCAUUUGCCUCAACUCAGGAUCGAGAUGGUACUCCAUCCUAAAAAAAUUCAAAUGUUAGAACCUUCUACAAGAAAUAAUGGAAUAAAACAUAAUUUCAGAAAUUUAAGCAAACUGAAUUUUAACUACUGUAUGCAAGAAAUAGAUUCAUUUUACAUCGACGCUAAUAAAAAAGAAAUGAUUUAAUAAAUUAAAGGAAAAACAGAAAUAAGAAUUACAGAUAAAAAUAAAAAAAAUUUAAAUGAAUUAAAUAUACAAAAAAUUAUAAUUAAAGAAAUAAAUAAAAAAUAAAAAUAAAAACUAAAGAUCUAAUAUUAAAAAGCAUUUUGAAUGGGAAAAAAAUUAAAUUAUGACAAAUAGAAAACAAUUCAGAAUAUUUUUUAAAAAGAAGAAAAUAAUAAUAAAUAAAAUAAAAUAAAAUUUAAAGGCCAACAUAGAAAAGGAAAAAUAAAUUAAAGAAAAUUAUAAAAUAUAAAAAUUAAAGCAAGAUUAAAGCAAGAGUAUUAAAAAAAUCAAUAUGAAAAAAAAAUUAUAUAAAGAAGAAAAAAAUUAAGAAAUUUUAAAAUUAUUACAAAAAAUAAAAACAAAAAAAUUAAACGAAAGGAAAUUAUAAAAUUAAAUAGAGAAUAUAAACAUUAUUUAAUUAAAAUUGAAAAAUUAAACUUUAUCAUAAAGAAAAGAAUGAAAAAGUAUUUAAUUGAAAAAAUAAUAUUUAUAAUAUGAAGCAAACAACUAAGAAAUUUUAAAACUAUUAUAAAAAAUGUAAUAAUAAAACAAAAAAAAUAGACAAAAAGAAACUAUAAAAAUUAAAUAAAGAAUAUGAAUAUUAUUUAAAAUUGAAAAAAAUUAAAUUAUGAUAAAGAGAAAAAUUCUAAUAAACAGUAAAAAAUAAAGAAAAAAACGGUCCAAAAAAAUUGGCUUUGCCCAAUUGAAUAUUAAACAAUCGGGUUCGACGAUUGUUAACAGCCGCUUUCUCCAUUUUUAACUGAAAAUGAGGCGAUCCCUGCCCCAAAAAAUCACUUAAAUCUAGUCUACACUCAAAGCAUCUAUCUAAAUACUAAACAAUAAACUAAAUAGAUGUUAAAUUUAAUCUUUACUAUAUAUGAAAAAUCAAUUUCAUAAUCACAAAACUACCAUUGUUGAAGUUAACUUCGCUCAGUGACUGGAUUGUGUGGUAGUCGAGGUUGGGUUGAUUAUGAGGGUGGUGUGGUCGACUGGAUCCCAAUUGAGUUUUUUCUUUUCCCUCUCCACUGUUGUGUGGUAGUCUACAUCGUUAAUCUUUAUUUUUAUUUUCCAUAUUUUAAAAUCAAUUUAUUAUUUAUUUUUAUUUUACUUUGAUAGCAAGACAAAACAUUGUAAGAAUCACCAACUUUAAAAUGUAUAUGUUAGAUGAUAAUAAAAUGUCAUAAAUAACUUUUCAAAAUUCAAAUCAAAUGUGUUUUCUAGUUUUUUAUUUUGAAAAAUAAAUUUUUAAAAUGAUAAACCAAAUAUGUUUUUAAAAAAUUUUAAAAUAGACCCUCAAAACAGAAAACAGAAAACAGAAAAAUGAACUCAAAACUCAAAACCGAAUACAAACCACCCUCAUGGAUGCAAAUUAUUCCUACGUUUUUUUGCUAUUUCCCUUUUCUUCUUUGUUUGGCCAAGCUAAAAAUUAAAAAAAAAAUUAAAUAAAAAUAAACAGAUGGUAAAAGUUAUCUUAAGCAAUAAUAUUACAAAAGUUAUUUUAUCCUUGAGUAAAAAGAUCGAAAACCUAUCUUAGUUUAACCGUUCCAUCAAAAUCAUAAAAUCCACCACUUAUCGGCCUAUAUGCACGAUCAACUCGAUGCAGCUGGGAGGUUUACCCCCAUACAAUCCAUCAGACUGACUUUUUUUUCUUUCACUCCAUCAAUUCACGAAAUGCAUUGAAGAUGCUUAAGUCAGUUCCAGUUCCUGACCCAGAGCCACUAGGAUCUAUUGGUAAGUCUCAUCCCGUGCUUGGACUUGGGCAGCUGUGGGAGGAUAGCUAGAGAAGUGGGGGAUUUUUUCACUUCAAAAAGUGGUUUCAAUAAAAACAGGGAAUACCCCCUUACCCCGCUUGGCACAGACCUCGGGAAUCAUCCUUUCUCCUAACGUUAGAUAUCGUCUCAUAUGGCUGAUGAGAUCCAUUAAUUUAUUUUAACUUUAAAAUCAACUCAUUUAAUAGAGAGUAAGAAGAAGAAAGUAAACUAUAUAGAAGAUACGAUUAAAUUAUGAAGUGCGUAAGCAUCAAUAUUUUUGUUCAUUUCUAGAACUGAAAAAUAAAAUAAAAUAUGGGAAUUCAACUCCUAGGCAAUAAUUAAAGAGAGGUUGUAUUACCACCACAAUAAAUGUUUCGUACAGCACAUUUUUCUUAUUUAUUAAAUAAUCAUGAGUAAAAUAACAUAAAUAUCAUAUAUUAUUAGCUUAUAUAUUUAUUCAUUCCAUCACCAUCAUCCAUACACCUUGCAUUUUCGUUAUAAUAUACUAACGAUUAAUAGAUAUUAUUUUGCAUACAAUCUGACGUAGUGUAUAUAGAUUAACUGUAAAUCUCAUUAGAAAUCUACAAAUUGGCUAGCUAAAACUUUGGUCAAACUUAAUUCAUUUUACUACUAGUCAAUUGAUAUGGACAGUUUCCUCAGCAAAAUUAUUUGAAUAUGAGUUUGCGGUCAACUUGUUCAAUUCAAACUCAUUCAAUAAGUCGUUAAUUUAUCAAAAAAUUGAAAUCCGUAGUGAACACUGAAAUGACAAAGGAAAAAUUGAUGAAAAAGAAGCUGAACCUUUCCAGCUAAAAUUCUACUUUCCAAAGAGUUCAAGUUGAUUCAAUAACUCUUUAUAAAAUUGAGUAUUUUCUGCCAUAUAUAUGUUCCUCAACAUAUCAAAAUUCAAACUAUAUGAACAUAAAUUUAUUUAUGCAACUAAAUUAAUUAUUUUUAUGCCUAAUUAUAAUUCCACCUCAAGAUGGAUAUGAAGCUAACAAGGGCGCGGGUAUGCACGAAGAAUUCCUCCAUGCUCUUGCAUGAAAUUUAAGAAUUUCUCUGGCUCUCUCCUUUGUCUUUGAUCCUCGAUCAAAAACUUCCAGAACUUCCAGUACCAGGCACAAUUUUGCCACUGCUCCAAUCUGCAACAUUUCUUGUAAAACUCCAGGAGUUGCUGAGAACUUCGAUAUCGAAUGUAGAAUUCUUAUUCCGCUCUCAUUUGCUGUAGAUGAAACCCUAAGAAUCUUCUUCGAAACAAUGGCUAAUCCUGCACUGUGAUUCAACAGUUCCGCCCUUCCCUCAGCGCAUUUGCAUAGCAAAUUCAGCGCCAUAAGCAUCAAUUCGGAAGCCCUUUUGUCAGAAGAAUCGAGUAAAAGGUCAAUCAACAAGGGCACUGCUCCAGCUUCCACUGCUUUAAUCCUGUUUUUUUCCCAUGGACAUACCUUGAUAAGAACUUUCAGUGUGGCUUUUGAGACCUUCCGAGAGAUUUGAUCGUUCAAGAUAUCUACUAAUUCGUGGAAGAAUUCGGGUCUGAGACUGAUCGAUUGAUUUGGAUCAGCCACUUCGAACACGGAUUUCAGAAACAUGACAGCAUAGACACGAGAAUCAUAGCUCCCGGAUUGCAUGACGCUCGUUAAGGACUGGAUUAACUCGAUAUUAUUCUGCAAGAGGGAUUUUAGCCCGGAUCCCGAUAGAUGGAGAUUAUAGAGAAUGCUCAAGGCUUCAUCACUUGCUCUUCUCAACUCAAUCACAUCUUCUGAUACUUCUGCUGAAGAUGACUCUACGGUUUUCUUCACGAUUAACGAGGCUAAGAACUCAGCCGUGCCUGCUGUUUCCAUGCAUCUUUUAUUCGUUUCGUUGUGAGAAGCAAUGGAUCUGAGUCUCUGUAAGCACUUCAGUUGCUUGUUUGGAGAGUUGGCAUCAUUGAAAAGCUUCAAAAGUUGGGAUUUACUGAUUGGAGCUUUCGGGGUUGGGAGCCUGUCGAUGCCUUCUGGAGCAUGGAGGGUGCACCAGGAUUGGAUAAACCGCCGGAGAAUAAUGUUUGGGAUCAACUCUGAAUCCAUAACCACUUGCUUUGUUCCCGGGCAAGUAUUAUUAUUCUGAGAAAACAGCCAUUUUUCGAUGCUCUCCCGAUCAUAUGUUAUACCGGUAGAGAGCGUAACAGGAUCCUUCAUAAUCUCUAGACUGAUGGGGCAGAGAAAGUAGGAUGGAAUUUCAAUUUCAUCCAUAGAAGAAGAAGUAAUUACAAAGAUUUGAUAAACCUAAGAUCUGAUCCAAGAAAAAGGUGAUUAUACAAUUUUAAGCAAGAAAAUUAAACUGUAGAGAAGUACAAAAAUUUUGUAAGCUAUAGAUGAAAAUCGAAGAAAGUGAAGUUCUUGUGGAGUUGAGUGGAUUGGUUUAAGGAGGAUAUGGUUUUAUAUGUUUCUAUAAAGAGAGGUAAAGAUUCAAAAUGUCAAAGUCAAAACACGGAAAAUUUUGUGUGUUCAGUUUGUGUGAAGGAAAGAGUAUUAUUGUUUUUUUUUUUUAUUACAACAAAUAAAAUUUGGACUUGGACUUUUCUAACAUGCAAUUUGCAAAUGACAACUUAACAAAUAAUUUUCUUAUUUAAAAUUAAAACACGUGAUUAAGUCAUGUUUAAUUACCAUGAAGGAGUAAAACAGAAGAAUCUGAGUUUGGAGAAGUUCAAUUUUGGUUUAAUUAGUUCACGAAAGUAACUUCGACCCGUUAUUAUUAUAAUUAUUUUUAAUUAGUUCACGAAAGUAACUUUGACGUAGAUUUAUUUGGAAUGAAUUGAUCUUGUAGUAUUUUUAUCUUAACUAAAAGAAAAAUUGCUAAUCUAUGAGGUGAGUUGUCGAAAAUAAAGUAUAGAGAAAUAAAUUUAUUUCCUCUUUAAAAGUUUCAAGAUAAGAUAAUUCAAUGUCGAGUAUUGUGUUUGCAAGUCUUUUUACAAACAUAAUUUUAACAAGAAAUCAUAUAUUUAAGGGAAAAAUGUAUUAUUUCUUGUCUUUCAAAAAUAUGUAUGGUACUUCUAAUUUUAUGACUGAAACAUAUCUCAAAAUCUAUUUCCUUUUGAAAAUAUAAAAUAUAAGUAAAUAAAUCCAUUUCUCUCUUUAAUCAUCGAAAACUUUUAUACAAUGCGAAUUAUUACCAAAAAGAAAUAAAAAAUCCUCACAUUUUUGAAUUUUUCACUAUGUAGUUAUAUUCUGAGACUCCGAAUUAAAUAGAACAACACAAAUUCUUAGAUAUGGAUGGAUAAAGCAAACUGUCACACUAAAUUUAUUGUUAAUAAAUACGAUAACAAUAUUUCAUAAAAUAAUUUUUUCAACUCCAUUUUCGUACAAUAAUUCAAUACAAAACUAAAGUUGUUCUUAAUUUUUUUAGUUCGCACAUUCCAUCACCGACACCGACUGAUCAUAAAUGCAGGAUGGACCUACCAGGAGGUUUGCAACACAUGUAUGUGUAUUAAUCCAUAGCGGGCUGCCGAUAUUGACCAAAGCUGGUUGGCAGUGGCUCGGACUACACGGAGUUUUUAUUUAAUCUUGGCUCUAUUUGUUUCUCUUUGUUUAAGUCAACCCAAAAAAGUUAAAUUUUAUUGGAUUUUAAUUUCAUAAAAUAAUUUAUAGUCACAAAUAUUAUAUAUGUUUAUGGAACAAUAAAUUUCGAGACGAGUUUACUCCUACAAUGAUAGGAUGAACAAAGCUAUAGACGUAAAAGUCAAAGAUGAGGAAAAGAUUAUUGUCACAAUUAAUUAAUUAUUGAAAAUUCUGAGAAUAAGUAAUUACAGAAAUUUGAGAACGAAAGGUUGAGCUUUAAAGCAAAAUGGACCAAGUUUAAUAUUCGUUGACUAUUUUUAGUCAACCCCCCACAUUCCAAAUUGCGAGACUAUCAUCUUUUAUUGUUUAAAGAGAACUUUUUAAUUGCUUUAUGUGACCUUUGGGGCACUGACUUACCAUUUGAAUAGUUCUAAUUCCAAGGUUUGGAUUCAUACUGGGGGAAGCUCUUUUUGUUGUGAGAUAUUGUAAUACCCCAAACUUCACGUUAGAUAUUUGGCUAAUAUGAUUCAUGUAUUUCAUGCUAAUUACAUUGUUAUUUGCAUCAAUUUUCUAGUUGCUUUAUCUUAAAACGGUAUAUUCGAUGAUUAAGUCUUUAAAAUCUUUACAUGAUGAUAAUCUUCGACUCCUCGACCUAGGUGGUGAACUUUAUAUUGAGCUAUGAUAGAAAAUUAAGUUAACUAAAUGUUGGAGAUUGGCUUGGUAAGUAAUGAAAAAUCGAAAGGGUCGGAAAUUAGUAUCGACAAAGGUUCAAACUUUCCACUCGGCUGAUCGAGGUCACUUUAAACCAUAGAUAGGUAAUUGCCAUAUUUGGGACAUGAUGCAUGAAGUGACAUGAUCACGACGUAAUAAUAUAUGUCUCAUAUGACGUUAUAAAUUUUGAGGUGCGAAUUGUUGAAAUCGUUUGAUAAUCAUUGUAAAUCGGGUAAGAAAUUAAAUGAACAGUUGAGGAAUUAGCUCUAUAAUAUAUUUGGGAUCUUAGGACAAGUGAAAUGGAUUAUAAACAUGUCAAAAUAAGCCAAGGAUACUUGAUUUGUACCUGCAAAGAUAGAUAUAAAAUCUGAUUAUACUACAAGUGACCACCUCAUGCUUGAACACCUCGUGCUUACGAUGUUUAUCAUUUUAACACUCAAUUUCUUCAACCUUAAGAUAUCAAUCUCGUCUCUACUCCCUAAGAACUUAAUAUAGGAUGAAUAUAUAUCUUAAAGGUCACAAAUGGAUCCAAAUAUAAUGGUUGAAAGUCAAGUAUUUCUGCAAAGAUGACACAUCAUGCUUGGACAGCUCAUGUUUAAGGACACUUUUCCUUUGUUCACAUUUUUCUUCACCCUUAAGCAAUAUGCGCGACCUCAACCACUUAAAGAUCACUCAUUUACCUCACAGAUAAUAUAUUAACUCCCUUAGCUCGUGUCUAAGUGAUUCCAAGUGAAAAGAGGGUGAAAAAGUCAAAGAGAAAUAGAAACAAGAAGCUGGAAUUUCUGGACAACUUUGUUACUUCACGAUUUUGAGGUUUGUAUCCUUUGUUUCUUAAAGGAUUUAUAAUUUAUUGAACAUCUAAACUUGCUUGUGAUUAGCUUGCAGUGUUGUUAACGAUUUUAUGAUCCCAAAAUAGGGGUAAUUAAUUACAAGAAUUUAAAAGAAAGUAAUCUGGAUAGAGAUGAGGAUUUGCUAGAUUUGAAUGGUUUAAACUUUGAUUUUGGAUAAUACUUAAGAUAUAACUUGUAUCUAUGUAAAUGAAUGUUGUUGUAUGAGAGUUAGAAGAAUAGAAAUGGUCUUCUAAUAGCCUAGAAUCUGAUUGGUGACAUGCUAGUAAAAUGGAAACCGAAAAUAGUCAUAGGAAAACAAAGCUACCUGAUUUUUUGUAGUGGAAAAUGUACUGUUUUUGAAGCUCAAAACCCUUCAUUUGUUACAACCUUAUGAUCUAAUUAUCUUCAUAUAUAUGUUAUAGGUGGGUGGUAAGAAUUUGGGAGUCUUUGGAUAUAGUUAAGGAGGUGAAAAAGGAUUAGAAAAAUAAUUGGACGGUAAUGAAAAUCUGAAAACAGGUUCUGCCCAUUUGUGUUUUUAAUGUGAUUUCAACAUUUACACAUCCACUAAUUAUCUCUUGCCCUAGAAAAUAGAUUCUAAUGAGUACUAGGUUGUCGACAACAAUUGGAUGACAUUGACGUUCAUAACUGGACUUGAGAAAUAGUGAGACUUAUGGGAUUAGUUUGUAAUGCCAUCGGUAACUUGAAAUAAUGAUUUCAUCUAAAUUGUUUUGGCGUGAAUGGAUGCAUUUCGGGAUUGUGUGUGUUAAAGUUAUUAAAUGGAGGAUUGUCUUUAAUAUUAGAUGAUAAUACAGGUGAUUUUUCGACGUUGAGCGAAAAGGAAAUUGAUAUACACUCCGUAGGAGUUUGCACACACAAAGGCGGAAGGUAAGUAAAAAUUCAUUUCCAACUACGAUACAAGAACCUAGUAUUUGUAAUGUGGUAAUGUUAAAAUAUUUACAUAACUUUGAUAAGAAGCUUAUAGCACAUCAUAUGAUGAUUAUAAUCGUUGAGUAUGAGGUUGUGAAACUUAUUGACAUCGAUUUUUAUUAAAUAUAUCAUUCAUGAGCAUUUUCAUAUGCAUGCACGACAUGUGAUCAUGGUUGAAAUUCCUGCAUGUGAAAUAUGAUUUUAAAGUGAGUUUUCUUUAUAAAUGUUUUACUGACCACUAUUAGGGCACCGAUGCAUGUGAGACAUACUUAUGUAAUAUGUUUGACAUCGCGAGUGAUACUUCUUGAGUGAUUGCAAAGGUAGAUAGGGGAUGGACCUUUGGUGAUCAUGAGAGGGUGAACCACUCAAUUGUGCCCUUAUGAUAUUAUAAUUAUUAGUGCCGCCAGAUGGGAGACUUCUUGGGUGAUCAUAGGGAUAGUUAGGGAAUGGACCUCUAGUGAUCACGAGAGGAUGGUCUACUCGCAGGUGUCGAUUUCAUAUUGACCAUUUGAUUAUUGAUAUUGAUAUUAUGCAGAGCUCUAUCCGAUGUAUAGUAGGUGGGUCAAGGGCCCUAUGAAAUGAAAUAAUUUCGAGUCGACUUUGAUGAAUAUUUGAAUAUGAUGCUUCUUUAUCGUGAUGUUUAAAGUAAAUAGCAUAGUUGUAUAUAUCAUUAUUAUUCAUAUUCAUGACAUGCGUGAAUUUUACUUACUAAGCAUUGGCUUAUAUAGUUCUUGCAUUGUAGGUGAGUCUGGAACUAUAUAGAGAGCACGGCUAGUUGUGGAGCUCUUACGGGAUUUCAGAGUUCGAUGUACAUGGAUGAUGACCUGUAGGGUUAUUUUGUGGGCUGCUAUUUUGAGCUUAUGGCCUAUUGCGUUGUAUGUUGAGGAUCUUGUGUUGUAUAUUUUUUGACAUGGCAUGCAGACAUGUUUAUAACCUCAGAAUAUAUAUGUUUGAUUAUGACAAUAUGAUUUUAGUUUAGAGAUAUAGCUUAUGUUGUUUUGUCUGGUGAAAAAAUGUGUGAAAUUCUAUGUCUAGGUGACAUAGAUUAAAUUUGAAGCAUAUAACUACAGAAAAUGAUCAAAACUGAUAUUAGGAUAAUCUUUUAAAAUAUUGUAAUGGUUAAUGCAUUAGAUUAACUUAAUAUUCUAUCACAUAACAGUCAUCAUUUAAUUAUAAAUUAUGAGGGUAUGUAGUCAAUGUUUUAAUGAACUAACAUGCAGUAAUUUUAGCUAAAGAUUACUUGAAUUGUGAAAAGCAAAAUGUUUAUAUUUAAUAUCUUAUUUUAGUUUAUGAAUUAAUAAAAAAAAGAAAUUUACUGAUAAGUUUACAUUUAUUAAUAGUUAGAUUAGGUAUUAUUAUACAUCUAGUUCGCGUGGAGUCCACAUAUGAGAUAACUAGGAAUUAGACGCCAUGUUGGCUAUUGUCCUCUACAAUAUAUGUGGAGGCCUAUCUUAAUUCCUACUCGCAUGCUUGGUUGGUGUGAUUGUAUGAUUCUAAAUAUCCAUUCAAAAUCUUAGACGAUCAAAAGAAGAUCCAGAAGAAUAAUCAUCAAAUAGGUAAUUCUUUUUUAAAGAAACAAUAUCAUAAUUAUGAUAACCGCUCAACAAGUGACUAUACGACAUGUACUAUUGGCCUAAUUUAACCUAAAUUCAUCUAUAAAUACAUACGCUUGGUUCAAAGAAAAGAUACACAACAUUGGACUCUAGCCAAAGUUCUGUUCAUUUGUCUCUUUCACAUAAAUUUUAUUCUCUAAUAUUUUUUGACAAUAGACUUGAUCGUUUGAAUGUAAAUGUACAAGAUAUGAUUCAAAAAAGUGACGUUGAAUUUUAAAGUGCAAAGAAGGUAUAAGUUGGAAGCAACAACUACAAAUUGUCCUGAAAUAAAAGUUGAAUAGCGUUAACAUUUUUACUCAUAGAAGAUAGCGGAGUGCAUUUCUUAGUAAGCAUUUUUUUAUAAUUUUUUUUUUUUUAUAAAUAAUGUUAGUGGGAGAUCAUAAAUUUAUGGGGAAUACCAUGGUGAAUUUAUGAAUAUUAUUUCAAAAUAACUUUAAGGGGUACAAGGCACACCAGUUUACUACAUAAACCGAAUCAGGAUCCCAUUCUUCAUAUAUUUCAAUAUAAAUAGUGAGUUAACGUAUGUUGCACGUUAAUUGAUUAAUGUUUAAAAUAAACGUAUGUAAAUUUUAGAAAAAUUCUUUUAUAAAUUUGAAAGAUAUUCAUAAAUUCGUUGAAAUUGACUUAUUAUUCAUCAAUUUUCUCUGUAUAUUUUUUAUUUUUCAUAUCAACAUUUGAGAAUUUGCAUAUAUUUGUACCAGGCAUUUCCCUGUAGAAAAGUUUGUGGGAAAAUUUUUUCUGCGAAAUAUACUUCUCUAUAUAUAUAUUAGCUCAAACUAAAAUAUGAUUUAACACACUCAAACAUUGCCCCUAAUUCAUAUUAUGAGUAUAAUAAUUAAAUAUCACCAAGAUAUGCAACAUAACAAUAUCUACACUAUUGCAUUAAAAAUGAUUUUUCAUGUUGACAGGAAUUAUGUAGAAUCAUAAAUUAUGGCUUAAAAUGUUAAAUGCAAUUUCAGGUAUCAACCUUCUUCCAAAGACAUGAUUUUGUAAUAUUGCAAAAAUGUAAUUAGAACAUUAGAAAAUAAUGUAGACAUGGACAUAACUAUAAAGGGAGAAAACUUCUUCAAACUUUUCAAAGUUCAAUUAAAAAGAAUUUUAAAUCGAACAAAAAAUUAUUUAUAAUAUGAAGAAAAAAGAAAUUUAAAAUAUUUUUUUUCGAAAAAUAUAAUAAAAACAAAACAAACUAAGCAAAAGAAAAUUACAAAAAUUAAAUAAAGAAUAUAUAAAUAUUAUUUAAUUAAAAUUGAAAAAAUUAAGUUUUAUCAUGAAGAGAAAAUAAUUAAAAAAAUUUUAAAUCGAAUAAAAUUAUUUAUAACAUGAACAAAACAAAUUUAAAAUAAAAACAAAUGUGGAAAUAAGAAAGAAGAAAAAUAAAAUCUAGGAGAACCCAAACCUCCAUCCUGGAUGGAGGUCUAAACCUCUCCAUCCAGAUGAUGGAAGUUUUUUCCUAUCCUUAAAAAAUAAAAAAAUAAAAAAAAAUUCUUAAACUUGAUGAAGCAAGCAAAAAUAGAAAAAAAAAAGACUAUUAUAAAGUUUUUUAAUUAAAUUGAAAAAAUUAAAAAUUAAAAAUUAAAAUGAAUAUUAUUUUUUAAUUAAAAUUGAAAGAAUUACAUCUUAUAAUAAAACGAAAAUAAUUAAAAGAAUUUUAAAUUGAAAGAAAUAUUUAUAGUAUGAAGAAAAAAGAAAUUUUAAAACAAUUUCCAAAAAAUAUAUAAUAAAAACAAAAUAAAUUAAACAAAAGAAAGUUACGAAAAUUAAAUAGACAAUAUAUAAAAAUUAUUGAACUAAAAUUGAAAAAUUGAUUUUUAUCUUGGAGAGAAAAGAAUUAAAAAGAAUUUUAAAUCAAAAAAAUUAUUUAUAACUUGAACAAAAUAAAUUAAAAAAGAAAAACGAAAAAUAAAAUUCAGGAGAACCCCAAACCUCCAUUCAUGAUGGAGGUUUUUCUCAAAACCUCCAUCUUGGAUGGAGGUCUAAAUAGGAACAGAUGGACUAAUCCAAAUGCUAUCUUCUCCAAGACAUAAACAUUAUAUACUGUUUGUGAUAUUGAAAAAUUUAGACAUAUAUGGACACGAAAUUUUGAAGCAUCAAAUCAAAAAUAAAAUAAACUAUUUGAUUGAAAAGAAGUCUCCAAACUUCAAAACAUUAAUUAUAUGAUAAAAAACCUAAAUAAACAAAAGCUAGCAUCACGGAGCUCCUGCUCCUGCUGGAUGGAGCUUUGGUCAACUGCACUUAUUUUGAGUCACAUUCAUCAUUUUAAAAUCUAGACUUCUCUGCUAAUUCAAAUCAAACUAAAGUAUUAAAUUCUCCAAAAUUCUAUCAAUUCACAUAAAAAAAAAAGAAAAAGAAAAAGGAAAAGGAAAACCACAAAACGAAAAGAUAAAUAAAAAGAAACUUACAUUAAUCAGUAGUCUGCAACUCGAUUUCGAUUUGAUUUCAAGGAAGAAGAAGAAGGAAACUCAUGUAUAAAAAAGCUUGCAAUGUUAGUUUCAAUUAAAAAGAAAAAUGUAGUAGAUUAUACUUAAAAGAAACAAAAUAAAUUAAACAAAAGAAAGUUACGAAAAUUAAAUAGACAAUAUAUAAAAAUUAUUGAACUAAAAUUGAAAAAUUGAUUUUUAUCUUGGAGAGAAAAGAAUUAAAAAGAAUUUUAAAUCAAAAAAAUUAUUUAUAACUUGAACAAAAUAAAUUAAAAAAGAAAAACGAAAAAUAAAAUUCAGGAGAACCCCAAACCUCCAUUCAUGAUGGAGGUUUUUCUCAAAACCUCCAUCUUGGAUGGAGGUCUAAAUAGGAACAGAUGGACUAAUCCAAAUGCUAUCUUUUCCAAGACAUAAACAUUAUAUACUGUUUGUGAUAUUGAACAAUUUAGACAUUUAUGGACAUGAAAUUUUGAAGCAUCAAAUCAAAAAUAAAAUAAACUAUUUGAUUGAAAAGAAGUCUCCAAACUUCAAAACAUUAAUUAUAUGAUAAAAAACCUAAAUAAACAAAAGCUAGCAUCACGGAGCUCCUGCUCCUGCUGGAUGGAGCUUUGGUCAACUGCACUUAUUUUGAGUCACAUUCAUCAUUUUAAAAUCUAGACUUCUCUGCUAAUUCAAAUCAAACAAAAGUAUUAAAUUCUCCAAAAUUCCAUCAAUUCACAAAAAAAAAAAAAAAAACGGAAAACCACAAAACGAAAAGAUAAAUAAAAAGAAACUUACAUUAAUCAGUAGUCUGCAACUCGAUUUCGAUUUGAUUUCAAGGAAGAAGAAGAAGGAAACUCAUGUAUAAAAAAGCUUGCAAUGCUAGUUUCAAUUAAAAAGAAAAUGUAUUAGAUGUAUACAAUCUAUUUUAUUUUAGAUUAUACUUAAAAGAAUAGAACAAAAAUACCUAGAGUGCAAGUCGAUAUCCGAGCAAUUGAUGAACCCGCAAUAAUAGCAUGUGCAAUUGAGAAAUUAUAAUUUAGAAUUUUUUGAUUUCUGAAAAAAAAAAAAAAAAAGGAAAGAAGGUGAAGAAGAGCAGAGCAAUGGUCGAUUUUGUGAUAAAAUGGAGAAAUUAUACAUCUAGUUCGUCCAAUACAAUAAAAAAAUAAAUAAAAGUACAGACGAAAAUAAUUCAAAGAAUUUUAAAUUGAAGAAAAAAAAUAUUUAUAAUAUGAAGAAAAUUUUUUUAAAACAAUUUUAGUAAACUUAUAAUAAAAACAAAACAAAUUAAACAAAAAAAAAUUAAAUAAAGAAUAUAUAAAUAUUAUUUAAUUAAAAUUAAAAAAAUAAGUUUUAUCAUGAAGAGAAAGAAAUAAAAUGAAUUUUAAAUCGAGAAAAAUUAUUUAUAAUAUGAACAAAAUAAAUUAAAAAAGAAAAAAUAAAAGAGAAAAAAAAUAAAAACGAAAAAUAAAAUCCAAUAGAACCCUAAACCUCUAUCCAUGAUAAAGAUUUUUUUUCAAAACCUCCAUCUUGGAUGGAAGUCUAAAUUGGAACGGAUGAACUAAUCCAAAUGCCAUCUUCUCCAAGACAUAAAUUUUAUAUACUGUUUGUGCUAUUUAAUAAUUUAGACAUAUAUGGACAUGAAAAUUUGAAACAUCAAAUCAAAAUCAAAUAAACUCUUUGAUUGAGAAGAAAUCUCCAAACUUGAAAAUAUUGAUUAUCUUACAAAAAACCUAAAUAAACAAAAGCUAGCUGCACGGAGCUUCUACUCCUGCUGGAUGGAGCUUUGCUCAACUGUACUUAUUUUGAGUCAAAUUCAUCAUUUUAAAAUCUAUACUUUUCUGCCAAUUCAAAUCAACCUAAAGUAUUAAAUUCUCCAAAAUUCCACCAAUUCACAAAAAAAGAAAAUAAAAAAUAGAAAAAGAAAAUCACAAAACGAAUUUUUAAAUAAAAAGAAACUUACAUAAAUCAGCAGUCUGCAACUCGAUUUCAAUUUGAUUUUAAGGAAGAAGAAGAAGGAACCUCAUGUAUACAAAAGCUUGCAAUGCUAGUUUUAAUUAAAAAGAAAAAUGUAUUAUAUGUAUACAAUCUAUUUUAUUUUAGAUUAUACUUCAAAGAAUAGAACAAAAAUAUCUAGAAUGCAAAUCGAUAUCCGAGGAACUGAUGGACCCGUAAUAAUAGCACGUGCAAUUGAGCAAAUUAUAAUUCAAAUUUUUUUGAUUUUUGUAAAGAAGAUGAAGAAGACCUGAGCAAUGGAGAGAAAUGGUCGAUUGAGUGAAAAAAAAUAGAGAAAUGGUAUGGCUACAUCUAGUUUGCCCAACACAAUAAAAAAUAAAUAAAAGUAUAGGACGAUAUAUAUUGGAGAUACGUGUCCAGCCAAUGCUUUCGCUCUUUUAUAUAUGUAGGAUGUUGACAAAAUAACGGUAGUUAGGUCAUCUCCAACGCAAGACAUGAAGUUGGUACGACUUUCAUACAAUUUUGUAAAGUUACUUUCAAUCCAUUAUACCAAAUACUGCAUCAAAUGAAUAAUUUAUUUCCUUAUCUUUUAAUUAUCAAAAAUUAAUUUAUUUCAAGAAUUAUUUACUUAUAAAUUAUAUUCUACUGAAAUACCAGAUUAAAAGUUAAAUUUAAUUAACGAAAAUAUUAAAUUUAUUAAUAAAUAUAAAAGGCUUUACACUUAAUACGACAAUUGAAAAAUUAUGACACUUAACACACAAAAUAAAUUUUUUACAUAUAAUAAAAAAUUACAUUAUAAAUUUUAUUAAAAGUAAUGAUCAAAUUAAAAUAAAUAAAAUCAUCAAGGAUAAAAUUUGUUAGUACAAAAUGAAGAGGAAAAUGGGAAUUAUGAAAAACUCUAAAAGUCAUACUAAAUGAAUAGUGUUGCAGCUAAUUUAGUGCAACAUUGUUAAUUGUACCAACCUGAUGUAAAGAUUUAAGAAUAUUGCUAUUUAUACAUAAUGAUAUUAUAUAAUGAUUUACAUAUAGAUGAAGUGCCAAAAAGAGAUUGUGGAAGAUUUUUUUUUAUUUAUUUAAUUGAAAAAUUCUAAAUCAAUUAUAUCAACUACAUUAAACCAUCAUGUAAAUCAUUAUGUAUAUAUAACACAACUGUAAAUUUAAUAUUCGGUUUGAGUGAUAUUUGCACCAAUGCAAAGUGAUUUGAGAUAUAACUGUAGUAUUCUAGACAAGACAAGUGACUGGGCUUUGCUGCACCAAGUCUUUGAAAUUAUAGUAUAGAACAGAACUUAAACCCUUCAAAAAGAAUGAAAUAUCAUGUCUCAAUUUAUUGUUUACAGUUUAGUUUUGAAAUUUAUUUCAUUGUAUGUUAUGUAAUUGUGAUCUCGUAGACAUAUUUUAAAGAAGAAUUUAUAAUUUUAAGGGGAUUCAAAGUUCAAUUAUUUAAUGAAAAAAUAUUUCUAGUCUACGUUUGGGCUCUAUUUUUUCAAAUUAUAAUUAAGGAAUAGUAACUUUUUUAAGAAUGUGUGGUUAAAAAAAGGUCAAUUUUUAAGGUUUACAAGUAAUAUUAUUUUAUUGGAGAAUGUGUGGUUGAUAAGAAAAGAGAGAAAAAUAAAUUUUAAUUUAAUGGGGACCAAACAGAGGCUAAAAGUGUUCGUUACGAUCAAAAGUCUCAAUUUAGUUAUACUAUGAUGUUACAAAUCAGCUAAUACUUAUUCUUGAUUAUUUUUAAAAAACCAGAAGAUUUCUAUUUUAAAUUCAUGAAGUGUGAACAUGUACAGAUUGAAUCAUAUUCACACACCUAUUUUUAAAAAUAAAUAAAUAAAUAAAUAAAGUGCUUUUAAUGGUAUUUACUUUAUAUAUUUAUUAUGACGCAAUUUUUUCAGCUUAAUUAAUCCAUAAGGAUAAAUAGUGUUAGCUGUGUACAUGACAGCAUUAAUUAAAUUUAUCAAAAUGUCAUGACUUUUUGAGGAGAAGACGUGUUCGAGAUGAGCAUUCAGGCUCCAUUAUUAUUUAAAAAAUAAAAGUAAAAGAGAAGUAUAAUAUUAAAAAAAGAAUUUAAAAAGAUAAAGAAAAAACACAAUAAUCUUUCCAAGGUGGCUGCCCUCACACCACCACCACCAUCAUAAUCCCUCAUCAACCAUUAAUAUUGAUCGAUGAAAUUCACCAAGUACACGAUAUCAUAGAUAAAUAAUAUAAUAAUAAAUAAAAUAUCGUCCCGCAAACCUAUGUACUUAAUCUAGUUUUGAUUGAUAUGUGUUCAAUUUGAUUAAUAAGAAUUCUAAUUGAAUAGCCAAGUUUUGACGAUGAAUUUCUAUAAAUAGUUAACUAACUAAUCUAAUUGAUGAGCAAUUAUUAAAGCUUUUGUUAAACCGAUUUAAAUAUGAACAAAGAUUUCGAAUCCCCAUUUAUUAAUUUAUUUUAUUACAAAGCCCAUGACAAUAGUUAUUUAUUCUUGUUGAUUAAUGUUCCUAUUUUGUUUAUAAUCUCUUUCGAAUAUAAUCAAAUAUAUUCUCAAAUGUGACCUUCAUAUAUCUAUACGAAAGAUGCAAACAUGAAAGAAUAAAUUAAAAAUAUUCAAACAACUAUUGAAAUCAUGCAAGACAUAGUAUUAUAUUUCUAUAUUUUAUGUGACCUCACAAGAAUUGUUACUAUUUUGCUAUCUUUCCUAUUAUUUAUCUUGGAUAUAAUAAAAAUCACUCAUCAAUCCAAUUAGCGAUCAAUUAAUUGAAAGCAUCAUAUAUAACAAUUUUUCAAGGUAAAGAAAUACUUAACAUCAAAAUCUUGAAAUUAAAAAAAAAAACUUCAUAAUAAACGAUUUAUCUAUAUCUUAGCAACUAAAACUUUAGCCUAGCAUUACAAUGUUACAAGAAAUCAUAAAGGAAUAAUCAAACAUAAUCCAAAUUCAAAAUAUUUGAAGAAAGAAAAGAGAAGUCACGAAAUCUUGAAUUUCUUCAAUCUUCCUUGAUAUGUUACCUCUUGACUUACCACAAAAGAAUGAUAUUUUUUACCUCUCUUGAUUGCAAGAAUUUGUAUAGUGUAUGGUAUGAGAGAUGUCUUUAGUUAUUGGAUGAAGAUUUAUAUUUAAAAGCCAAAAUUAGGUCAAAAUCCGUGUUGAAAUUGGUUGAAUCAUCCAAGGAAAGUGUCUCGCCUGGCCAGACUACAGCCAUGCGAUUGCAAUAUAUAAAUAUGUGCAAUCGCAUCGUUAAGCACCUUUAUCAAAUAGAGCGUUGGGAUCACAUCACCUUGUUUCAUGCAAUCAUGCCCCUAUAAGUUUAUCAAAUUCUCAAUUUGAUCCCGAAUUCUUUAUUCAAUCUGAAUCCUUUUUUCAUGUAUGUUUAGUCCUUCAUCUUUUAAUUUUAUUCAAUUUGAUCUCUAUAAUCUGCAGACAUCAUUCUUUGGUUCGAAUUAACUUUUAUACAUUAGUUAUUUCCCAAACUUUGGAAUUCUUCCUUUUUCAUCCUUCUGUUUCGCGCGGGUUAAGUCGCUAACAAUUAAAAAGGAUCAGACGAUUGUGUAAGGGACGAAACCUCUUCAGACAAAGUCCCAAAAAGGGGUGUUCUUUUAUUGGCGAUGAACUUUACAAUUGGAAAUGGAAAACAACGUGCCUCCAAGGGGCGCAAGCACACGAGUUACUGAAAGAAAAUUGUUUAAGUCUAAAAAACUAAGGAAAUGAAAAUUACAUGUUCUCUGUUCGAGAGUUUUGGAUUCGGUCCUUUGCCUCUAUGUUCUUUCUCCCUUUUAUACUUCAUAGACGAUCUCUUUGUGAUUAACUGCUCUAAAAACUGCUUGAUCGUCCUAUAACUACCCACUUUCUUCGUAGUGGCCAUUUUAUUAUGAAAACUGCCUUUUAACUGCUGCCAUUACCUUUCAUCGUUCAACUGCUUUCGAUUGAAUUCCUUGAGUCGUGGAACGUGAUAGGGCUGCUUUAGCAACUGCCUUGAUAACUGCAUUUUUUGAUAACCACGACGCGUUAUGUCUGUUGAUACCUUGGGUGACUUGAAGGUUUGGGCGAGAAUAGAAUAACAGCUCUGGACGACCGUAUGACACUCUAUUCGUUCAGAUUCUGGGCGACUCUGGCGUUACAGCAUUCUUGGGCCCCCUUAUUUGGGCCUUCACCUUGAUUUGUUCGAUUGGACUUCGUUCUUUGAGCUAUCUGAUUUGGGGGUCCUCCAAUUGGGCUUUAAUCUUUGGGCCGUUCGAUUUGGGCUAAAUUUUUAUGUGUCAACAAUUACCCCCCUGUAUGGCAGAAUUAAUAAUAAUUAUUGAAUUUUGCAUAUUUACUUUGUGUUUCCAGCAACGUUCGAAAUUCCCAAGAAUUUCAAUCAUUGUUUCCUUCUAUAACUUGAAAAGGUGCGUCGUUUUGCAAACCCUUAUAAACCCCAAACACGCCAUUUCACUGCUACCAAAUCACGCCUCAUAUUUUUUGCAUCUCUUUCACGAUUCACUGUUCAUCUUUUGCUUCCUUAUUACGUAACCCUGAAAAGCUUCGUUUCUCUUCCAAUGGCUGCUUCACAAUCUCAAGCUAGCGACUCCUUUAGUUUUGAUGACUUUCAGAAACUUUUGAGUCGCCCAUACAUAACCCCAAGUUUUCUCGCGCCCGCCGACGUUGGACGUAAUGAGUUUUACUUGGGUCCUUUCUUCAACAAUGCGGAGGCAGUUGAACAGGCGACGGUGGGUCAGCUGUUUCCUUGCACUCAUGGCCCUCCUUUUCUAAACUCUCUGCUGCUGGGCCCACUUCGCGAAAGAGGUAUUCGCACUUGGCCUAAAUCUGAUGUAACUUUUCGUAGGUGGCAUGCUCGUCUUGUGGGUCAUGGUCCUACCAAGGCACUUUUUGAUAGCACUAGGAUUUCUAACUUGUUAGAAGUCUCUAUUCGCCCCCCUGCUUUUGAUUCAGCGCUCUUUUCGAUUGCUUUGAGUUUUUGGUCCCCUGAGUAUAACACCUUUAUUUUUCCUCUUGGCCCCAUGUUUAUUACGUUAAGGGAUGUUGGGGCCCUUGUGAAUCUACCACCUUUGGGCGAUACCAUUUUCCCAGGUAUCUUAGUUUCUGGUGGCGCCCCAAAGUUUGGUAAAAACUAUACCGACUCUUAUUCAAGUCUGCAGACCCUCCACAAUCAUUCGAGUGCUGAGCCUACCUAUACUGAGCGAGUGGCCUUCCUUUUAGUUUGGCUUUGUAAAUAUGUUUUGUGCGUGCCAAGUAUAAAGCCUUCUCUGAGUUAUUUACCCAUAGCGCACGAAUUGGCGCGUGGCAGGUCUUUGAAUUUAUGUUCUUUGUUUUUGGCUACCCUUUAUAAAGGCAUGGCCUCUCUUCAAGCUCAAUUGAAGAAUGGUGCAUCUCCCACAGGCAGUGGAGCUCUUUGGUUUACUCAACUGUGGUUGAGAUCCUAUUUUCCAUCGUUUGGUGCUCCAUCCAUUUCUUGUCCUUCUGCUAGCUGUUACGGGCUAGCUAUGGAGCCCCUAACUCCUGUAAAUAUGUCCAGAAGGGACAUUUUUUCUUUCUUCUAUUCUUUAGAUUCAAUCUCUUCCUUUUUUCCUUUCCCUCCUUUCUUGACUCCAAACUAUGUACAUCCCCCUUCCACUAUAGAUAGCGCGAGCACCUCCCUGCUCAUUUGGAUCCAGUUUUUAACCGGGAGGGAGCUUUUCCAUGAUAUCUUAACUGGGACCAAUGCCAAAGCGGGGGUAGAAAUUUAUGCUCCCCAAUUUUUUGCUCGUCAGCUUGGUUUUGGCCAAACUUGGCCUGUUAUUCUUUACUAUUCGAAGAACUUAAUUGACCGUUUUCAUACCAUUAAUAAGGCGGAAGCAGAGGCUAUAAACGCUCGCAACCUCCAUUUAUCAAGCCACUUUUCAUUAGCCCCUUUUAAUUCUUGUCAUGCCACUCACCCUCUUUUUGAACAACUCUGGCCAUCGGUGAAGCGCAAAUUAUUUGCGACUGAGGCCAAUCGUGCCUUUCAUUCAUUAGACCAACCGAGUAUUUCUUCUCCUCCUCCUGUUUUGGUCACUCCUUUGUCUAUUCGGAGCCCCUCUCCUUCUCGUCACACUAAACAAUCUGUUCGUCCAUCUUCUUCUCUCCCUGCCAGGCCUACUACGGCCAAGAGUGCUCCAAGCCGCAAACGGCCGGCCUCAGCAUCUCUCAUUCUGGAGGAUGAUGUUGAUGAUGAUGAUGAUGAUGAUGAUGAUGAUGCCCCUCUUAUCGUCAGGAGGAAGGUAAUUAAAUUGGUCUAUUUACGAGUAUGCUUUUCCACAUUUGAAACUUUUCUGUGUAUUGAUGAUCUUUUGGACUUUUCAGAAAAGCUCAGCCUCUCCUUCAAAGGCUUUGGCAUCGACAACUCCUGCUCCAUAAUCCUCUGCUGAGGCUACUUCAUCCAAACCGGUUGAUGAGGGGACCAUGCUUAAAGAUGCAUCUUCAAUCCCAGAGUCUUCAUCACAACCCAUGGAUGAGCCACCUUCUUCCUAGGGCGUCGACCCCCCAAACAUCGAAGCAGAAGGUAAUUCAGUUUUUUGAUGUCUUACCUUUGCUCGUGCUAUUGGUUUCUGAUUUGUUGCUCUUGAGCUUUGCAGAUACUCCUAUGAGUCCCCCCGUUGUGGCAACAUCUUCUUGCUCGGACAAGGGGAAGUCCUCACAAAUGGAUGAGCCGUUGGUGGCAAGCUUGGCUGAGGGCGGUGCCAUCUUCUACGAUUGUCGACGAGGUAGUUUUUCUUUUUGCUUCAUUUCUAUUUCCACCUUGUUCGUUGUAUUGAGGAUUUUUAAUAUUGGCAGUCUUCUUUGCAGGAUGCUGACAGGAUUGUACGUUCUAUCCAAGACUUGUUCGCUUCCUGGCGGCAAAUUCAGACGUUUCGCCCUGCUCCAUUCGAUCGUCCUGCUGCUUCUUCAGAGGAAGACUUGAAGUUCCUGAAGGAAUUGAUACUCGAGUACGUAUCCUUCAUGGAUAUGGAUAUUGGAAGGGCUAGUGCUGCCAGGCACAAGGAUGAACUUGAGCACUUAAGUGCGAAGUUGGAGCAAGCAUUGAUGCUUUCGUCGCUCAAUCUUUCUGCCGAUUUUAAAGCGACGUUGAAGGUUAUCCACUCUGAGGUCCUUUAUAUGCUGGCCAAGAAUACUGAACUAAAGGCCAAGCGUACUCAAUAUCUUCGAGCCGUAGCUGAGAAAGAGUCUUUGCGUAUGGAGAUUAACAAGGCUGAGGACGAGUUGAAAGAAAUCUCCUCUGAAGUCAUGAUUGAAGACUCUUUGAUGGUUAACUUGGCUGCUCAGAUGAGAGAACUUCAAGCUAAAAUGGACGACUGUAGGGCGAGGAUGGUUGCCAAAAAGUGCAACGCCUCCCAAGGAAUUGAGCGAACUAAGUCCUUGGUCGAGCAGUACAAGAAGUUGGAAGUUGAUGAUGAUGACGUCGCGACUGAAUUGAACAUCACUUCCUCUCGACAGAACGAGGAUUGGGAAAAACUUAGGGAACGAAUUCGUUCUUUAUGGGGUAGACUGUAAUUAAGACACACGAUGUCUUUUUUCUUUUGUAAUUCGAUUUUUUCCUUUGUAACUUUAUUCAUCAUUAAUGAACAUUAAUUUCUUGUGCAUUUAUUUGACGUUUAUUUUUUUAGUCAUCAAUUCUUUAAGUACUUAACUGCUUUGCACUAAAAAUCUUGUCCAUUCCCUUUUGAUAUUCCCACUACUGUUCCCAAAACUUAGGGCUAUUCAAUUCCGUUUAUUAGACAAAAAUGUGGCUGUUCAUAUUCUGUCUCUUCAUCUUCACCCCCCUAUAAAUGCUUUGCAUUUUUCAUCCUCUAUCUUCAUCUCUUCAUUUUCUUCUUCGAAAUCAAUUUGCUGCCAUUUCUUGGCAUUCUGACGAUCAACCUGAUUCAAAAAUAGAUUGUUUAAUCCGUCCGCCUUAUAUUUACUUUGAUGUCACCUUUGGUAUGGGAGGUAUAGGAAAUAUUUUCUGGCCAGCAGCGAAGUUCUUUCCUGCAAAAUUCUUCCCAUCGUCUCUUUGUUCUUCACAAGGAGGCAAUGAUGGGAGGCAAUUUUUGGGCUGCUUGUGGGCCACUUUGCUUGCUGAGAGUACUUCUCAGCUUGCCUGCUGAGAGUGUUUCUCAGCCUCUUUGCUCGCCAUCGCAGCGAUGCAUUUAGGAAGGUGGUGAGGCCAUUAGACCCUCUCACUCGGCAAUCCCACCAUUGCAGCGAUGUAUUUAGGAAGGCGGUGGGGUCAGUACACCCUCUUACUCGUCAAUCCCACCUUUGCAGCGAUGCAUUUAGGAAGGCGGUGUGAAGCUUACUCAGCGAUCAAUCGGGAGAUCAUCUUACUUUAGUUGUAUUUUGUAUCACGUCCAUUCAUUUGUAUCUUUUGUAUUCUUGUAAUGAACGUUUGAUAAUAAAGAACUUUAUUCGAACGUAUUCCGCUCUGUCUUUAUUAUCUUUUGAUCGUCCAGAAUGUUUGGUUAUGUUUUUAUCUGUUCACAUUCCCAUAAAGAAGGAACAUAUUUUUUCAAAUAUUUGCCGUUAAUGAAUCUUACGUGCUUGGUGCCAUCUAAAUCUUCCAAGUGUAACGCUCCAUUAGGCAACACACUGUUUAUUUUGUAUGGUCCUUCCCAAUUGAACGACCACUUUCCGUACUUUGGAUCCUUGGUAUCCAAAGGGAGUAUCGUCUUCCAAACUAGUUCGCCCAAGCUGAACGACUUGGCUAUGACUUUUUUAUUAUAAAACUUAGCCAUUCUUUGCUUUUGAACUUGCAACCUAUCUAAGACGUCCAACUUCAAUUCGUCUAAACUCAACAAAUUUUGAACUAGUGAUUCGACAUAUUCAUCAUCAUUCAACUUAUGUUGCAAGCACACUCGAAUAGAUUGCACGUUGAUUUCCAUAGGCAAAACGGCCUCCUGUCCAUAAACAAGUUGGAAAGGAGUAACUUUGGUACUUGACCGAGGUGAUGUUCUAUAAGCCCAUAAGGCCUUGUUCAAACAUUCGUACCAAUUUCUGGCGUUUUCAUCUAUCAUCUUUCUGAUGAUAUUUUUUAGAAUCUUAUCAGAAGAUUUCGCUUGUCUGUUGGAUUGAGCGUAGUACGGUGUGGAGUUUACUAAUUUAACCCCAAACUCGCUCAAAAAUUUGUUCACUUGAUCCCCAUUCAAAGAUGUUCCGUGAUCUACCAUUAAAGUUUGUGGAAUUCCAAACCUAUAAAUAAUGUGAUCACGGAUAAAUUCUAUAACAUUCUUCUAGAUGAUCUUUUUCAAAGGUACCGCCUCUACCCAUUUGGUGAAAUAGUCGGUUGCAACUAUAACAAAAGUAUGUUGCUUGGACGAUGGAGGGUAGAUCUUUCCUAUCAGAUCUAUCACCCAACCUUUGAACGGCCAAUGUUUAAUAAUAGGUGCCAUUUCUCGUGCUGGCGCCCUUUGUAUUGGACCAUGUUUUUGGCAUGCUAAACAACUUUUUGCAUACUGAACGCAUAGUUCUCCCAUCUUUGGCCAAAAAUAUCCAUUCCUAAUAAUUAACCAUCUUAUCCUAUGGCCAGCUUGAUGAGCUCCACAUAUCCCUUCGUGCACUUCAGCCAUGAUCGUUUUGGCUUCUUGCAAACUUAUACACUUUAGUAAUACACCAUCAGAGCGUUUCUUAAACAACUCUUCAUCUAUUAGUGUGUAAUUCAGCAAACAUAGCUUUGUUUUCCUGCUAACUCCUCCAUUAGGUUCUUUAAGGAACCCUUUAAUCUCUGUUCUCCAAUCCACUGCGUCUCCAUCUUGUAUACAGUGAAGUUCAAUUUUUCUCGCCCUUCUUUGAAUCACGGGCAAUAUGAUUCCAUAAUCACAAGUAGACUUCCAAUUCAAAACCUUUGAGUACCCUGAUGCCAUUUGGGCUAACUCAUUUGCCAUGUCGUUAUAUAUCCUAUUAACGCAUUGGAGUUCUACUUGAUCGAAUUCUUCUAGUAAUUCUUGGGCGAUCUCGUAUUGACUUAUAAUGGAAUCACUUUGGUAUUUAAAAUCACCGAUCAAUUGAUGGAUCACCAAUUGAGAAUCGCCUCUAACGAUCACAUUUCUUAUUCCCAUAUCUAUCAUUAGUUCUAGGCCUACAAUUAAGGCUUCAUAUUCGGCCUGAUUGUUGGUGCACAUUUUGUCUAAGGUGAAUGCCAACUUGUAGCAAAUCCCUAAAGGAUUAAUCAACGCUACUCCUACUCCUACACCUUUAGAGGUCUUUGACCCAUCGAAAUACAACACCGAAGGUUUUAAUUCGAACGAAUUGAUUUCUAGUUCGAUUUCUUCAGGCAUGUCAAGGCAUGGAUGAUCGGCUAGAAAGUUAGCCAAAGCCUGAUUUUUGACUGCCUUUUGAGGUAUAUAUUGUAUUUUGAAUUCUGAUAAAGCUAGUGUCCAAAGGCCUACCCUUUGAUAUAAAAUAGGGCGCGAAAACAUAUACUUAACUAAAUUUACCUUAGAAAUUAAAUAAACGGUUACGGGCCGUAAGUAAGCCCUUAGCUUUGUACAUGUGAAAUACAACGCAAGACAUAAUUUUUCAACAGCAGAGUAAUUGCAUUCACAUUUAGUUAACCAUCUACUUAAAUAGUAAAUUGCCCUUUCUUCACCAACUUGGUCUUCCUGCGCGACCAUUCCAGCUAUUGAUUCUUUUUCAGCCGACACGUACACUUUCAUCGGCCGUCCUUGGAUUGGUGACACCAACACUGGUGGACUUGAUAGAUAUAUCUUCAGGCUUUCAAAAGCGUUUUGAUGUUUUUAUUUCCAGACGAAUUCAUCCUGAUUUUUCAGCUUUAAUAGCGGCGAAAAGAUUUUAGUUCGCCCUGCACAGUUAGAAAUAAAGCGUCUUAGAAAAUUUACNNNNNNNNNNNNNNNNNNNNNNNNNNNNNNNNNNNNNNNNNNNNNNNNNNNNNNNNNNNNNNNNNNNNNNNNNNNNNNNNNNNNNNNNNNNNNNNNNNNNNNNNNNNNNNNNNNNNNNNNNNNNNNNNNNNNNNNNNNNNNNNNNNNNNNNNNNNNNNNNNNNNNNNNNNNNNNNNNNNNNNNNNNNNNNNNNNNNNNNNNNNNNNNNNNNNNNNNNNNNNNNNNNNNNNNNNNNNNNNNNNNNNNNNNNNNNNNNNNNNNNNNNNNNNNNNNNNNNNNNNNNNNNNNNNNNNNNNNNNNNNNNNNNNNNNNNNNNNNNNNNNNNNNNNNNNNNNNNNNNNNNNNNNNNNNNNNNNNNNNNNNNNNNNNNNNNNNNNNNNNNNNNNNNNNNNNNNNNNNNNNNNNNNNNNNNNNNNNNNNNNNNNNNNNNNNNNNNNNNNNNNNNNNNNNNNNNNNNNNNNNNNNNNNNNNNNNNNNNNNNNNNNNNNNNNNNNNNNNNNNNNNNNNNNNNNNNNNNNNNNNNNNNNNNNNNNNNNNNNNNNNNNNNNNNNNNNNNNNNNNNNNNNNNNNNNNNNNNNNNNNNNNNNNNNNNNNNNNNNNNNNNNNNNNNNNNNNNNNNNNNNNNNNNNNNNNNNNNNNNNNNNNNNNNNNNNNNNNNNNNNNNNNNNNNNNNNNNNNNNNNNNNNNNNNNNNNNNNNNNNNNNNNNNNNNNNNNNNNNNNNNNNNNNNNNNNNNNNNNNNNNNNNNNNNNNNNNNNNNNNNNNNNNNNNNNNNNNNNNNNNNNNNNNNNNNNNNNNNNNNNNNNNNNNNNNNNNNNNNNNNNNNNNNNNNNNNNNNNNNNNNNNNNNNNNNNNNNNNNNNNNNNNNNNNNNNNNNNNNNNNNNNNNNNNNNNNNNNNNNNNNNNNNNNNNNNNNNNNNNNNNNNNNNNNNNNNNNNNNNNNNNNNNNNNNNNNNNNNNNNNNNNNNNNNNNNNNNNNNNNNNNNNNNNNNNNNNNNNNNNNNNNNNNNNNNNNNNNNNNNNNNNNNNNNNNNNNNNNNNNNNNNNNNNNNNNNNNNNNNNNNNNNNNNNNNNNNNNNNNNNNNNNNNNNNNNNNNNNNNNNNNNNNNNNNNNNNNNNNNNNNNNNNNNNNNNNNNNNNNNNNNNNNNNNNNNNNNNNNNNNNNNNNNNNNNNNNNNNNNNNNNNNNNNNNNNNNNNNNNNNNNNNNNNNNNNNNNNNNNNNNNNNNNNNNNNNNNNNNNNNNNNNNNNNNNNNNNNNNNNNNNNNNNNNNNNNNNNNNNNNNNNNNNNNNNNNNNNNNNNNNNNNNNNNNNNNNNNNNNNNNNNNNNNNNNNNNNNNNNNNNNNNNNNNNNNNNNNNNNNNNNNNNNNNNNNNNNNNNNNNNNNNNNNNNNNNNNNNNNNNNNNNNNNNNNNNNNNNNNNNNNNNNNNNNNNNNNNNNNNNNNNNNNNNNNNNNNNNNNNNNNNNNNNNNNNNNNNNNNNNNNNNNNNNNNNNNNNNNNNNNNNNNNNNNNNNNNNNNNNNNNNNNNNNNNNNNNNNNNNNNNNNNNNNNNNNNNNNNNNNNNNNNNNNNNNNNNNNNNNNNNNNNNNNNNNNNNNNNNNNNNNNNNNNNNNNNNNNNNNNNNNNNNNNNNNNNNNNNNNNNNNNNNNNNNNNNNNNNNNNNNNNNNNNNNNNNNNNNNNNNNNNNNNNNNNNNNNNNNNNNNNNNNNNNNNNNNNNNNNNNNNNNNNNNNNNNNNNNNNNNNNNNNNNNNNNNNNNNNNNNNNNNNNNNNNNNNNNNNNNNNNNNNNNNNNNNNNNNNNNNNNNNNNNNNNNNNNNNNNNNNNNNNNNNNNNNNNNNNNNNNNNNNNNNNNNNNNNNNNNNNNNNNNNNNNNNNNNNNNNNNNNNNNNNNNNNNNNNNNNNNNNNNNNNNNNNNNNNNNNNNNNNNNNNNNNNNNNNNNNNNNNNNNNNNNNNNNNNNNNNNNNNNNNNNNNNNNNNNNNNNNNNNNNNNNNNNNNNNNNNNNNNNNNNNNNNNNNNNNNNNNNNNNNNNNNNNNNNNNNNNNNNNNNNNNNNNNNNNNNNNNNNNNNNNNNNNNNNNNNNNNNNNNNNNNNNNNNNNNNNNNNNNNNNNNNNNNNNNNNNNNNNNNNNNNNNNNNNNNNNNNNNNNNNNNNNNNNNNNNNNNNNNNNNNNNNNNNNNNNNNNNNNNNNNNNNNNNNNNNNNNNNNNNNNNNNNNNNNNNNNNNNNNNNNNNNNNNNNNNNNNNNNNNNNNNNNNNNNNNNNNNNNNNNNNNNNNNNNNNNNNNNNNNNNNNNNNNNNNNNNNNNNNNNNNNNNNNNNNNNNNNNNNNNNNNNNNNNNNNNNNNNNNNNNNNNNNNNNNNNNNNNNNNNNNNNNNNNNNNNNNNNNNNNNNNNNNNNNNNNNNNNNNNNNNNNNNNNNNNNNNNNNNNNNNNNNNNNNNNNNNNNNNNNNNNNNNNNNNNNNNNNNNNNNNNNNNNNNNNNNNNNNNNNNNNNNNNNNNNNNNNNNNNNNNNNNNNNNNNNNNNNNNNNNNNNNNNNNNNNNNNNNNNNNNNNNNNNNNNNNNNNNNNNNNNNNNNNNNNNNNNNNNNNNNNNNNNNNNNNNNNNNNNNNNNNNNNNNNNNNNNNNNNNNNNNNNNNNNNNNNNNNNNNNNNNNNNNNNNNNNNNNNNNNNNNNNNNNNNNNNNNNNNNNNNNNNNNNNNNNNNNNNNNNNNNNNNNNNNNNNNNNNNNNNNNNNNNNNNNNNNNNNNNNNNNNNNNNNNNNNNNNNNNNNNNNNNNNNNNNNNNNNNNNNNNNNNNNNNNNNNNNNNNNNNNNNNNNNNNNNNNNNNNNNNNNNNNNNNNNNNNNNNNNNNNNNNNNNNNNNNNNNNNNNNNNNNNNNNNNNNNNNNNNNNNNNNNNNNNNNNNNNNNNNNNNNNNNNNNNNNNNNNNNNNNNNNNNNNNNNNNNNNNNNNNNNNNNNNNNNNNNNNNNNNNNNNNNNNNNNNNNNNNNNNNNNNNNNNNNNNNNNNNNNNNNNNNNNNNNNNNNNNNNNNNUAACAGCUUUCAAACCGGAACAAAUCUCUACACUAAUAUGAAAAUUAUAUUGUAGAAGCAAAUAUGGAUUGUAAGGAACAACCUAUUAGUUAUCAAAUGUUGCAUUUCAGACUUUCACCUAUGAAUUAGGAAUUGAAGAAAUUUGACUAAUUGUUACGUACUAAUAUCGUAAAUUAAGAAAACUAAUGUUAAUAAGAAUAAUAAUGGUAUUUACCUUAUAUCCAUAAUUUCUUCUUCUAUAUAUUGGAUAUACAUCAUUUCCUUGCACUGUCUUCGAGGAAAAUGGUCUUGGAUAAUGGAAUCAACAUGUCCUGCUUACUAUACAUGGAAAUUUGUUGUUAUAUUCUCCAUAGGGUUCAUGUAGCAUGUGUUUGACAACUACUUUGUAAAGAGUAAAUUUUGUUUCUUUGUCUGGGAUUUUUGCCUACAUAUAUUUGUCAUAUUGGUCAGCAUUUGUGAUUUUGUAACCACUUUUCAAUAUAAUUAAUAUGUGAGCACGUGGAAGUCCUCUUUUUUGAAAUUCAAUCACAUAAAGAUAAGCCGCAACUUUGUUAAGAAUCUCUUUUUUCAAUAUUUGAUCUUUUAGGUCCAUUAGCUUUCCUCUAAAGACCUUUGUAGUGAGAUUGGGUCUAUCUUGAGGACGUUGACCUUCUUCGAGUUUGUCUUAAUGUCUUGGUGUCAACCCGCCUCCCCAUUUGGAAAUAGUAGAGGAUAUUGAAGUGAAUCGUAACAACUGAAGUAGUGUCGAAUAAUAUGUCGAUUUCUAGAAUGUGCAUGAACAAUAAUAUUCCUUUCGAAAGGUAUGAGAUCAUCAUUUCUUUCUAUCCAUAGGGCAGCCACUUGAUUGAUGGUCGGUGUAUUGUGUACACGUUGAUCGAUAUUAACAUUGCUUGCAAUAUGUAUCUGUAUAUUGUCAAUGCAUGAUUGGUCCUUUAUGGUAUGAAAAAAUUGAGCAUAAGGAUAGUGUUGUAGAAGUUGCAUCAAUUGUUGAACAAUGGUUUUUAUCAAGAUCGGCAUCUCUUAGUAUGUGAAUCAUGUUUUCCAAUUCGUGAUCAACAUUGUAAAAAUACAAUUGAAAAAAUAUAGGUCGUUUUUCUGGUAAAAAAGCUGGAAGAUCAUGGUAUAUUUGCCCGUGAGCUCUAAAUGUGUGAACUCCCUUGUUUGAUGUAGUGAGAUCUUUAUCAAAAUUUACAUCGAACGAAAUGAAGGAAAAUAUGCUGUUAUAACCUCUCAAAUUUUUUUGACAUAAAAUCCCUUCACUGGAUUGUGAAUUAAACAAAUGAUACAAUUCAUUUGGCACUUUGUUUUCAGCAAGUCGGAUCUAAUAAAUGUUGAAUGAAAAAUUUUUAACUGAUAAAUUAUACAAAUGUUUGAUAAUAGAAGGUAGAAAAUAUUUGACCUAACCAUUUUGACAACAAAAUGUUGGAGUUUCAUACUCAUUUUGUUGUGCCCCAAAAAGUGCAUGAACGUAUUUUCUUAAGCUCGUGUAUUGGAGAACACCUGUACAAUAUUAAAUGAACUUUGACAACUAAUAUUGGUAAAAAAAUAAUGUAGAGUCAAUCCAACGAUCCAAGAGUAAGACCUUGAAUUUGAUUCCGAUUUUGUUCUUGUUUGGUUUCAAUGGAAGAUGAGAUACAACACUUGUUGUCUGUGUCCUCUGUGUAUCUCUUCUUUCUGGAUUCAAUUGUAAGCUAAAUCUUUCUGAUCCUUUGUACUUUUGAGAGCCUUAAAUAUUUUGUUCUUUUACGUUGGUUAUCAUGUCUAAGGAAUUAUUUCCUGAGACUCAACAACACGAAAAUAAAUGAAUUUAAAGAGUUAUUGAUUAGAGUGUCUUAUAAAGUUAGAUUACAUUUUAUAUGCAUUUAAAUAAUGGAAAGAAUUGAAAUUAUUUAAUUAUAAAUUACUUGAACUUCUAGAAAAAUGAUUACAUAUUAGUAUAUAUGUAGAACCUGAUGAAUUUUUUAAAAUCAAUAUUUAAGUUGUUAAAAUCUCUACGAUUUUAGUGUUUGAAUAUGAAGUGUUUUAGUGUAAAUGUUAGUAAUAUUUGUGAAUGAAUAUACAGUAUAAUCAGAUGUAUAAAAGAACUUCGAGUGGUAAAUAAAAACAUUAAUAAUUAAUAAGUUGAAUAAAAAUAGAAAUGAAGAGGAAAAAUAUUUGUUACCAAACUAUCAGAAUAAUUUUAUUAUUACUAUUACUAUAUAAAUGAUAAACUAAGCAAGCAUAAGCACUAGCAAACCAUUUUUCCUUUUUACAAUUACCAAAAAAAUCGAAAAAGAAAAACCGAAGCCUGAUGAAUAUCUUUCUUCCUUUUUUUUUUUCCCUCCCUAUUUUUGUGCUGGAAAAGAAUACUAAACAAAAAUAGAGAACAAAUUUAAAAAUCGAAAAAUAGUCAACUAAUAGUUUAAAGUGAAAUUAAUCAAAUAAAAGAGAGCCUACUUGGACUUAGAGCGCAGAGAUUGAAGCCAUGAAAAACUUGGUAGAUCUAGGGUUGGCCAUUUGUGGAAGAGCAAAAGUAAAAAAAGUGAAUAUUUUCGGGCUUCAGAAUUUAACGAAUCACAAUUUUUGGGUUUAAUUUGUUUACAAGUUUUGUUUACUCCACAAUACCACCUGCAUAAUAUGUGUUCGUCUGUGUGGGAGAGAGAGACGGUGUGACGAGAAAUUAUAUGACAAACUGCAGACCAGAAGCUAAAUGGAAAUGAAUGUUAAUUGGGAUACACGUAAAUACUAAUUAUAAUUAUUUUAGUAUUAAUGACAAUGAAUACAUAAAUGAAGAUGAAUGUAAAUUCAUUUAUACUUAAUGAAUAAAAUUAAUGUCCAAUGAAGUGAUUCAAAAUUCUUGAAUGGAUCGUAAUUAAAGGGUGUGUAUGUGAACCAAUAUAUGGGUACAUGAACUGAAGUUUUUAUUUCUUCUAAUGUUUGUGGAUUUGCGUGAGAUAUUUGGUUAUGAAAAUGAAAAAUUAAUGCUGCUGUAUAUCAGAUUUGAAAUUGCACAUAUAUUCAAUGUAGGUAAAUGUAUUCAAUAUAUAAUUAUGACUAUGUGUGCAUGCAUGCAUUUACGUUAAUGUUUCAGUAUAUUUUCUGGAUAAGAAUUGGAUAAAUAAUUUAUUAUAGCUCUAAAAUAUAUAAAGUGUAUAUGAACUUGAAGACUUGAUGUGGAAUUUAAUAUAUCUAUAAAUUAAUUAAUUAAUUAAUUAAUUAAUGUUUAUUAUUAUACAUGUACAUAAAAAAAUAAUUGAAUUGUUGUACUUCUAUAGUAAUUGAAUAGCCUCAAGUUAUAAACCAUUUUGUCUAAAUAAUUUUUCCAAGAUCAAAUUUAUAUAUUGAAUGUAUAAUUCUGUGCAUGCAUUAGGUAAAUGUAUUCAAUUGAUAAUUAUCAUUGUAUGUAUGCAUGCAUGCAUUUCUGUAAAUUCUCAGACAUCAUUUUAUUCUGAUUUUUUUAUUUUAUUGAUUCAUGCCUAGAAGUUGUAAUAUAAAUCCAGAGUAUAGAAGUUUAGAGAAAGAGGAUUUACUUAUUUUAGAUAGCUUUUGGAAAUGUUGAGAGAGUGAGCUGGUGUUCCUCAGAAUUCUCAUUUUGGAUGGAUUUUAUGGGAAUUGCUUAUUUCGAUAAUAAGUGGAUCAAUUUUGGUUUCACAAGAAGACAACAAAAUUAAUGCACAAAAAUUUAUUCCUCAAGUUUAAGAUUAAGAUUAAUCAUUAAUAUGAGGUUUAAAUUAAUUCUCCAAACUACCAUGCAUUUAUUUUAUUUUGUUUUCAAAAAUUAUUCUAUUAAUCUAUGGUUUAAAGUCAUUCUUGAAGUUCAAGUAUACAUUAUUUUGUCUAAAUUAAUUUUCCAAGAUUAUGUGUAUAUAUAGCAUGCGUGUCUAGUUUCUUUUGUAAUAAUAAUUGUGAAGAAGAAUAUUAAUUAAAAUGCUUAUUCACUUUCAAGAUUAGUCAAUAAUGUGAGAUCUAAAAUAAAUUUCCAAAGUAUUGUUCAUUUAUUUUAUUUUUCCCCACAAUUUUAACGAUACAGAAAAUUUGUUUUAAAUAUAACAUAAACUUUCUCAUAUUAAAUUAUAACUUCAGUAAAUUAUAAAUGAUAAAAUAAUAGGUGUGCUUUGCGUCGAUGUUUCGAACAAAAAUAAUAAUAUGUGUCUCUUAAAUGAUAAAAUAACAGGUGUGUUUUGAGACGAUGUUUCGAACAAAAAUACUAACAUGUGUUUCUUUAAUCUAAAUCAAUAUUCAAUCUUCUAUUUUUAGUUUCUUGCUCGGAUUGUUCCUUCAAUUAUCUCCUUUGCAUCCACCUUGUAAACUUCUUCGACAAUCAAUUUCUUCCAUGUUCUUUCUUCUCUUUUCUUCACAUCCAUCUUCACCAAGAAUUUGAACUCUUUAUCUUCCGAGGACAUUAGCUUUUUGUAUUAUUUACACAGUUCUUUUUGUUGGUCUGAGAAGAAAAUAACAAUAUAUGUUUUUAUAAAGAUGAGUUAGUCACCUAAUUUUAGUUAGAAGCAAUAUAAUAUGUUGAAAACACAAAAUCUAAAUUAUAUGUUUACCUUUAAAGAGCUUCAGCAUAUUCAAUCACAGUACUUACUAUGAAAGAUUUGGCAGCAUCAAAGAUUGUGACGUAAACUUCUUGAUUACCAUCUAAAACUAUUAUCCUCAACAAAUACUUUCUAUUAAAAGCUAUGUCUUUAAUUUCACAUAUUGUACAUGUGACGAUUUUUUUAAUCUUCCUCUGGGAAACUCUUGCACCACACUUGUUUUGAACCUUUAAAAUCUUGCCUAUAAAAGCACAAUACAAUUUAGUCACACUAUUUGUAACCAUAUCAUCUAAUUUUACGAUACCAGCAUCCACCAUCCUCUUUGUAGGUCCCAAUAGUUUGUACAAUCCUUCACCACAUAGCAAUUUUUUAGUGCUGUAAAAAAAAAAAAAAAAAAAAAAAAGAAAGCAAAAUAAAUCAUCUUUCAGCUCUAUUAAAAUCUGUUUAAAUUUAGUAGUAAUGUAAAUAUAAUCGUCAUGACUAAAUAAACCAUGCUCGCCUAUUUUUAAUAGCAUUAGUUUCUUCAAGUUGCAGAUUGAUCUCAAUGAUACUAAUAUUUGAAGUGGAGAUGUUUAGUUCAUAUGUUUGAUAGACGUUAGUAAGAACGCGGCAUAGAUUGUUGAUUUUAGCAUACAACUCUUUUUAAUAUGAUAAUAAAAUAAUUAUAUAGUAUCACCUUCAUAGUAACUUGCUCUCACAUUCAAAGCUACAAUAAGUGGCAUUGAACAGCAUCUUCCAUAGACUUUCCUUCGUUGUUAGCCAAAUCUCCCCCACAAAUGUAAUUUCAUUGUAUUACACCUGUACUAAAAAAAAAAAAAAAAUUGUUGAGUAAAUAAUAUUAUAAAGUUUAUCUUCUUUUUAUUUGAUUAAAAAAAAUUGUUUGAUUUUAUGGAUGAUGUUUACCCAUUGUCUAGGAGAAUCACUUCUCGUUUCUUCGUUGUUCUUUCACUUGGCCUCUUAACGUUGAUGAUGAACGUAGGUUUUACUUUGACAGCAAAUCCUAUAAUAUCUGAGAACACAAAAGAAAAAAAAUUUCCAGAAAGAAUUCAUUAGCCAGCGGAAAAAAAAAAAAACCUUAGAUAUCAUGAAUUUCUACACCAAUGUUUUCACUAAUGUCAUGUGGAGUGUUCCUUUUUUAUUAUUAUUUUUAUUUUUAUUUUUUUUCCCUUCUUCAAUAAAUAGCUUAAUAAAAUAGGACCUGAUAUAAAAUAUGGGUAGAGUUUUUUGAAUAUUAGAAUUAAUACUUAGUAAGACUUUCCGAACAUUAUUGGAAACUAUGCAUUUGACUGAAAAAUAUAAUUACAAUGACGAUAUCUCUACUAGCAAAAUUUCGUAUGUCAUUGAAUUGAGGAUAAGAGUUUGAUAUCUUAUAGCAUAUGUGUUCUUCAAUCUCUUCUACUUCCGUUGUAGUUGUGAAAGACAAUUCGAUUUCAUCAUUCACAUUUUGGUAUUGACAGGUCUUACAUUUUUAUUUCGUAUAAUGUAAGAUUUCCCCUUUUCAAUUAUAGCAUCGAGUUUUUGAAUUGCAUCAUUGAAUAACAUGGCUUGAAUUUUAUAUCCCUAUAGAGAAAUCACUAUGUUACUUCUAAUAUACCCGAUUGAAUAAACUCAAACAUGAAUAUACCACAUAAUCAUUACUCCAUUACCAUCAAUACUAAAUUCAAAUAAUCCAGUGUAGCAUAAAUAUUCGGUGCAUAUCAAGAGCAAAUAUUUAUUCACUACAACCUAAGUCGUCAGAUUAGAACCUAAGUCAUCAAAUUAGUAAAAUAAAAGUUUUUUUCCUUUCUUUCCUUCCUUUGAUCUCCACACCAUCUCAGAUUCUUACUAUUAAUUUUACUGUACAAAUAUAAAAGUCAAAAACAUAAGAUCCUGUGAGAUAAAUUAAAGUAUUCUUGAUAAAGCAAAAGACUUUUAGAAGCACGUAAAGAUAUGAGGGAAAUGAAAUAUUUAUGCCAUGUCAGUAUUUGAAUCUCAAAGAUGAAUUCAGAAUUAUUAAAUAUAAGGGUCAUCAUAGUAGAUAUAUUACCUCCUUGUCAAUUAGGAUGAUAUUCAAAAGAUCAAAUUUUCCAGCAUUUUGGAAUAAAAUUUGACUAAAUCCUUUCGAACUACCGUCAGUUUAAUGUACCAUUCAUUUUCAUACGCCAAUAAAUCUCUUAUAGCCUAUGAUUCCAUGAAGGGGGAGAGCAAAAUAUUUGAUGAUUUGAUUGAAAUGUGACAACAACCAAUUUGUGAAAAUAAUUUAAAUAGUUGAGGGAUUAGUUCAUUUAUGUCUAAAACUCAUGAUAACAAUCAAAUUCAUUCAUGAACAUGAAAUCUAAUUAAUUCCAAUUGAUGCUGCUGAUGCGUGUCACAUAUAUACAAUGUAUGAUUAUCACUUUAUGGGUGAAUGCAUGCAUUUAGGUAAAUGUAUUCAACAUAUAAUUACCACUAUAUGUGUCCAUGCAUGCAUUUAUGUAAAUGCUUUAGUAAGAAUUGGAUAUACAAUGUAUAAUUAUCACUUUAUCUUUCAAUUUCUAAAUCUUUAAUUGAGUGUCAUAAGACUCGGCUUCUGAAAUCAUCAACCUAGCAACUUGAUUUUAUCCUUGACCACCUUUUCAAACAGCCUCAACACGUCCUCAUAAUUAUUAUACAUGCAUGUGCAUGUAAAUAAAUAACUGAAUCGUAAUAGGGCUUGUAAGUAGUAGUGCUAGAAUCGUCCGAAAAAUGAUUUUCCCUUCAUGUGAUAUUUAGUGUAUUAUAGAUUUUUAUCCCCAACAACUUGCAUAAUAGUUAUGUAGGAAAUCAUCAUUUUUGUUAAAUCAAUUAUAUGAUUUACUUUUCUUUCAGUUGAGAAGAAAACCGACAAAAUUUGUUUUAGGUGAAAAGAAAAAUCAAAUAGAAAAUAUUUUGCUUACGUAGAAGAAAUAAAUGAGGAUAAUUUCUCACCGUACUUGUUGGUCCCAAUCGAUCUUUCAACAAUUAAUUUUAGGCACAAAUUUCAUAAGAUUCACAAAUUUUCAACCACAUUUCAUCAAUUUUUAUCAGAAUCUACUAAAAUACACCAAACAAGGGCUUAGUUCGUUUGUAAUAUUAUUGUCCAAUGAGAAAAAGUUUUUCAACAAUUUGACGUGUAAAUCGACAUUGAAUACGUGUAAUACAACCGACAGCACAUUAUAAGUAUGUUAAUUGCCGAUAUAAAAAUCAUCAACCAAGUUUAAAUUGUAUGUUAUUUGAGCAGGUAAUAAGCAACAAAACAAGGCAUGGCAUUCGUAGAGGAUAGAAUUUAGUUAAUUGGAACAUCAAAUCACCUACAUUUUUCUUGCCCAAAAGGAAACAAUGUGCUUGUAAAUAAUUUAUAGACCUUUCACGAUUAACCAUUUAAGCUAUGCAGUGACUAUUUUAGCUUUAGACAUUCUCUUUCUUUCCGUUCUAUUCUUGCUUUCAGAAGUCUCUGCGAGAAAUACAAAAUUGCAGAUUUAUGGGGUAAAAAUCAAAAGAAUGUCUCUUAACUCACACUAGACGGCCUGCUGCAUCAUAUACUCGCUCCCUGAUGCACUGGUGCUUGUAUGGGACAAGUGCAAAUCCGAUCCCUACAAAAGAUAGCUUUCAGAAGCCCAAUGCUUAAACUCAUGUGAUGAACUCAGCAUCGGAGAUGCAAAGAGAUAGGACGAACAUCACUUUCACUUAUUAGUAAAUUACUGGGUUUAAAACAAGUUCACAACGAGUAAAGGUGAAGCUGAAUCCAUGAGUAGUAGUAGUACAAUAUAAGAAGUUUCAUACUUCUUGACAUUUUAUUUCAAGCUCCACAGGUACAUUUUUGUAGCACAGGACACGUAUCCGAAUUGAUAUCAUAUAUAAACCUCAAACGCCUAAAAUUCUUGGGCAGACUAGCUCUUUCACAACUCGUAAUGUCUCAAAUUCGUAUGUUUACGAGAAGUGAUAAAUAUCCUUGAAUGUAUCGGCUCUGGUUAUUCACCGUCUGUUUCUAUGGCAUGUAUCAAUCAAAUAAUUAUAAUAACUAUUGAGUCUUUUUCACAAAACAAGGGGUAGUUAAAGAUUGGAGAACUUUUCUAUCAUUAUCCAUAAAUAAGGAAAUCAAACCAAUUAUAUGCUCCUAUAAAACAGAAAAAAAGAGUAGGUAAUGUUCUCUUCUCUUUACACUAAUAACAGUACAGGACUCGUGAUUAUCUUCCUGAUCAUUCGGCAUCAAGAUGAUGGAAUUCAAUUAUAGCACCGGAGUUUACCAACCCCAGGAUAAAUUAAGUAAGUUGUUAGAAUUCCAACAAGAGAUAGGAGUUGCAUCAACUUCGGAAGAAAUUAUGUACAAUCGAGAUAACUAUGCAAUGUGUGCAUGCCACCACGAGUGAUGCUUAAUGAAAAGCUGCAGGAGUACAAUUUGAAUUUAGAUGGCCUAAAAAGAAACAGCUGCAGGGCUUCCAUCCAAACAAGCAAAUUUAGUCUUGAGGGUUUUAAGAUACAAGAAUUAUUUUGCAACAACCACUUAUUUAUGUUUAAAUAAAUAGUCUAUUUGACAAUUACUCUCUCUGUCCCAUGUUAUUCUUCUAGAUCACUAUUUCAAUUUGUCCUAAAAGUUAUUUUGGUCACUAACUUGAGACUCUAGAUUCUGAUUAUACACCUUGUCAUGUUAUAGUGGGACAAGGCUUAACUGAAGAUAAGAAAUAAACUACCCACUGCAAUAUUAAAUGGAAGUUCAACUUGGGACAGACUUGAAUCGUCAAAAUUGACUUCUCUUCAGAAUUUGACCACUUCUGCACUCAUAUACUUAGACCCACUCAUACAAAAGCUAAGGUUAAUAGGGGCAAAAGAUUUCAUGACAAUCAGAUUUCAUAACUUUUGACAGCACAAGAGGGCCAAUAAAUAAUUUAAUAAGCGUAAUUCUAAGACCACAUAUGUAUAGUGAUAAAAAAUUACUUAAAAGCUAAACCUGACUAGUCAGAAAUAUUGAGUAAAUUUGUAAUAGUUCAACCUACGAGUUUGUAUAGGUCUUUAACUCUUUUCUCUUGACAUAUUUGCCUUCAACCUUAAGUUUGCAGAACUUCUAGAAGCAUUGUGUCUUCAUCCUAUCAAACUUUUUAGCUCUGUAAUCGGCAAUCUGAAGUAAGUAAAUGAUUUUCAUCUAUUUGACCUUUGCGAUAAUAUAUGCGACUAUUUGUUAAAAGAGGUCAUUACCUAAUAUUGGAACCACCUAAGAGCAAAUUUGAUAGAUAAUAUUAAAUAGUAUAGCAUAACAUUUUUUUUUAAUUACUAUACUGAAUAGGCGAAUACCGUCUUUGCUUCCAAACAAUUCAUAAUUCCUUCACCCAUUUAUAUGGAGGAAUGAUCGAAUCAUAAAAUCAUGAUUUUAUAACCAUGGCCAAAAAGUGAUCUACUAUUGUAACUUGAGGGGAUGAUACUUACAACCCUAAUUCUUAGCUAGAUUCAGAAUGUAAAGUGGGACGAGCAGAGCUAGAUUUUUCACGUGCGAGUCACUCGUCGGCUCAUACAAGAGCCAAGAAACAAAACAUUAAAAAUUAUGCAAGCAUUAACAUUCCUCUCUAGAUUCCAAUUCUCUAUAGGAUGAAGGACGGGCCUUUUUUCACUUCUUCUUGCUCUUCAUUAUUAUCUAUGUAUUAAACUUUAAUGAUUUAUAAUUAUAGCAUUUAUUAAAUGUAUAUAACUAUUUGUGAUAUAACAUGAUUUCUUUUAUUGCAAAUAGAAAUCACCACAAACUCCAAAAGCUCAAUUAAUUAAAGAUCAAAUAUAUGAAUAUUUUUUUUUUGCUUUUUGUUCGGUUAACUACUAUUUAUACCUUGAACUACACAAAUCUUUUUCACUAGAUUUAAUUUGAUUGAUCUCUAUAUGGCGGCCUUAAAAUGAACAAGUUGAUUCAUACCAUGGCUUACUUCGCCAUGCUCUUGAGAUUUUUUUUUUUGUUUAUUUAUCACUUAAAAUCAUUGAAAAGCACAAAAAUUACAAAAAAUCAACCCUAUACAAGCUCAAAUAACAUGUGGUCCCACAUCCUGAUUGCGCCAAUCAACUGUGGUAGAAGCACCAUCCCCUGUCCCUGAAAAUAUGCAUCGUACAACUUAUUAUUCCUUUGAGUAUCGUAGCUCGUUGCUUCACCAUCGAUAAUCUUCAGUCUAGUCAUGAUGGCAAAACCCAAGUAUAGAGAAAUUAGUGACCUUGCCUUUGAGGUUGAAGUAGAGUGCAUUCGCCAUUGACUUACCUAAGUAGUUGACAUAGUAAUGCAUCAAUGAUCUAUCUAGAAUACUUCACCUUUCUCAACUGAUACAGGGGCCACAUGAAGGACUUGAGUAGUAUAUCUCCAUGCUAAUCAUCGAGCAACUCCAAUAUAGUAAUAAAACUGUCAAAACUACUAUUUCAAGUAUAUUUACCUGCCAUUUGUCUCAACUCAGCAUCGAGAUGGUAUUCCAUUCUAAAAAAAUUCAAAUGUUAGAACAUUUUGCAAGAAAUAAUGGAAUAAAGCAUAAUUUCAGAAAUUUAAACGAACUGAAUUUUAACUAUUGUAUGCUAGAAAUAGAUUCAUUUUACAUCGAUACUAAUAAAAAAAGAAAUGAUUUAAUAAAUUAAAGGGGAAAAGAAAUAAGAAUUACAGAUAAAAAUAAAAAAAUUUAAAUGAAUUAAAUAUACAAAAAAUUUAAAAUUAAAGAAAUAAAUAACAAAAAUAAUAAAAAUUAAAGAUCUAAUAUUAAAAAGUUGAAUGGAAAAAAAAUAAAUUAUGACAAAUAGAAAACAAUUAAGAAAUUUUUUUAAAAAAGAAGAAACUAAUAAUAAAUUAAAUUAAGUAAAAAUUAAAGACCAACAUAGAAAAGGAAAAAUAAAUUAAUGAAAAUUAUAAAAUAUAAAAAUUAAAGCAAGAGUAUUUAAAAAAUCAAAAUGAAAAAAAUUUAUAUAAAGAAGAAAAAAAUUAAGAAAUUUUAAAAUUAUUAUAAAAAAAUAAAAAGAAAAAAAUUAAACGAAAGGAAAUUAUAAAAUUAAAUUAAGAGUAUAAAUAUUAUUUAAUUAAAAUCGAAAAAUUAAACUUUAUCAUAAAGAAAAGAAUUAAAAAGUAUUUAACUGAAAAAGAUUUAUUUAUAAUAUGAAGCAAACAAUUAAGAAAUUUUAAAACUAUUACCUAAAAUGUAAUAAUAAAACAAAAAAAAAUUAGACAAAAGGAAAUUAUAAAAAUUAAAUAAAGAAUAUGAAUAUUAUUUAAAAUUGAAAAAAAUUAAAUUAUCAUAAAGAGAAAAAUACUAAUAAACAAUAAAAAAUCAGGAAAAAAAAAUAAAAAUCGGCCCAAAAAAAUUGGGUUUGCCCAAUUGAAUAUUAAACAAUCGGGUUCAACAAUUGUUAACAGUUGCUUUUUCCAUUUUUAGCCGAAAAUGAGGCAAUCACAGCCCCCAAAAAAUACUUAAAUCUAGUCUACACCCGAGCAUCUAUCUAAAUACUAAACAAUAAACUAAAUGGAUGUUAAAUUUAAUCUUUACUAUAUAUGAAAAAUCAAUUUCAUAAUCACUAAACUACCAUUGUUGAAGAUAACUUCGCUCAAUGACUGGGUUGUGGAAGUCGAAGUUGGGUUGACUAUGAGGGUGGUGUGUUCGACUGGAUCCCAAUUGAGUUUUUUCUUUUCUCUCUCCACUGUUUGCACAAGAUGAGGCGAGGGUAUUUUUUUUAUUUUUGAUCUUUCACCUCAUAAUUUAACUUUUUACUCUUUUUUUAAUGGUCAAAGGCUUUAUUAGAAAUAUGCCUAGGUCAACCGGCCAUUUCCAUGUAUUUCCUCGAUUAUAUUAUCACCACAAUAAAUGUUUGGUACACCACAAAAUUUCUUAUCUAUUUAAAUGAUUUUUGAGUAAAGUGACAUAAAUAUCAUAUAUUAUUAGCUUCUAUAUUUAUUCAUUCUUGUUAGGAGUAUGACUCAAAUAGGAAUCUUUUGAAGAGGCGAAUUCGACUUGGACUAAGAAAAUAUUAAAUUAGGGUUUAAGGAAACAAAAUCCUAUUGAAAUUGGGUCUCCUAAUAGUAAUGUGUUUUCUUGCCUUUUACGACUCUUCUAGGAUUGGCCUAUAAAUACGAGACUCCUCUGGUUAAUUUGUAGAGAGUAACAUAGAAGCAGUAUGAUAGUCUAUUUUGUAUUCUCCAUACUGUUGAAUUAAUAAAUAUUGUUCCUCUGUGUUUACCCCUUGUUUUGUUUCUUUACAAAUUCAAUCUUGUGUUCUCGUGAUGCGAUCUAGUAAACUUCAAUAUUGUCAUUAAAUCUCGUUAUUUAAAAUCCGAUUUGGAAUCAAUGUGUGUUAUUGGAGCUUUCGCGCCCAAUAGGUGGUAUCAGAGCGAGGUUGUUGAUUUUCUGUGGAUUGGUUAAGAUUCUUUCGAAAUGGCUAGGUUGAAGUAUGAUGUUCCGCUGUUAGAUUGCAAUACAAGGUUUUCAUUAUGGCAAGUAAAGAUGAGGGCUAUUUUAGCACAGUUGGAUUUGGAUUAUGCGUUGCUGGGUAUUGAGAGGAUGCCAGCUGGUUGGAUAGCGGAGGAGAAACAAUGGAAGGAUCAAAAGGCCGUUUCAUUGAUUCAUCUUCAUCUGUCCAACAAUAUUUUCCAGGAUGUCUUGAAGGAGAAAAUGGAGGCUGCUUUGUGGUUGACGUUGGAACAGUUGUGUAUGAUUAAGAGUCUUACAAGUAAACUAGCUCUCAAGCAGAAGCUGUAUUCACAUCGCAUGGCAGAAGGAGGGUCGUUGGAAGACUAUGUUGCCAUGCUCAAGGAAAUAGUUGCAGAUCUGGAGACAUUGGAGGUUAAGUACGAUGAAGAGGAUGUUGCCUUGAUCCAGUUGUGUUCGCUGCCUGGAUCUUAUGCGUCAUUUCGGGAUACUAUCAUAUAUAGUUGAGAUACUUUAACUAUAGAAGAUGUUUAUGAUGCUUAACACUCAAAGUAGAAAAUGAAGCAUUUGGUUGGAGCUAUAUCAAGGGAUGGGGAAGCUCUUGUAUCUUAAAGUGGUCAAUGAAGAGGCAGAUCAAGAGUUAGAUUUAGCAAUGUGACCUAUUACUACUACAAAAGGAAGGGACAUAGUCGGAAGGAUUGCGAUAUGUUGCAAGCUAAAGGUGAUUUAGCUGUAAAUUGUGGGGUGCAACCUUUGAAUUCAGACGAAACCAAUGUAGUUGAGAAUUGUUCAGGUAGCGAAGAGGUGAUGUUGACCGUGGUAUCUGAUGUGGAGUCUAGGCCUGAUGAGGAGUGGAUUUUUAAUUCAGCAUGUUCGCACCAUAUGUGUUCCGAUAGGAAUUUAUUUAAGAGAUAUAAGGUUGUUCAGCACGGUGGGGUUGUAAUGGAAAACAACCAAUCUUGUUGUAUUGCUUGGAUCAGUCGAGUCAGAUUGAGGCUGCAGGAUAGAACAUUUAGAACAAUUAAUCAACUUCGACAUGUUCCUGACCUGAAAAGUAAUCUCAUUUUGUUAAGUACCUUGGAUGCAAAAGGGUAUAAAUUCUCUGGAAGAGGUGGAGUCUUGAAGGUCUAAAAGGGAGUUCGAGUUGUACUAGAGGGACGGAAAAGAUCCCAAUUGUACAUUUUGUAGGGGAGUGCAGAACUAGUUAAGAGGAGACAUUUGGACAAGUUUAGUACCGUGGUGAAAGUUCAGUUUUGGUACAGUACUUCUUAUGUUAGGCUCUGAGUCGAUUCAGAACACUGCUAGGGAGAACGUUGGUGAUUUCGCUUUGCAUCGAUUUCAGCGAAUAUACUGUGUUCAGUUGCUGGAAUAGGACUCAUCAAGCGUAGGUACUGUGGUGUCAGUAAUAUCUGGGAUGCUUUUAGAGAAGUUAAAGGCGAUAGUUCCAGCAAGGGCCCUUCUAAUAAAGUAUCUGGUUUGGUUUUUCCUACAGGGUAUGGUUCGGCCCUUUGUGAUCAGCAUUAAUUCCUUGGUAGAAUUGAAACCCUAGGGAUUGGGUUCUGGUGUCGGCUGUGGACGCCGGGUAGAGGAUGAGUGUUUAGCUUAUAUGGAGUGGUUACUGUGUUGAGGAGAUUCGGCCAGUUAGUUUCGAUGCAGAUGAAUUUGAAAUCUAGAAGUUUCGUUUGUAGCACCGAAAUUAAAGUCGAGGUGGAGAUUGUUAGGAGUAUGACUCAAAUAGUAGUCUUUUGAAGAGGCGUAUUCGACUUGGACUAGGAGAAUAUUAACCUAGAGUUUAAGAAAACUAAGUUGAAUAAGAAAACAAAAUCCUAUUGAAAUUCGGUCUCCUAAUUGUAAUAUAUUUUCUUGCCUUUUAGGACUCUUCUAGGGUUGGCCUAUAAAUACGAGGCUCUUCUGGUCAGUUUGUAGAGAGUAACAUAGAAGCAGUAUUGCUAGUCUAUCUUGUAUUCUCUAUACUGUUGAAUUAAUAAAUAUCGUUCCUCUACGUUUACCCUUUGCGUUCUUUCUUUACAAAUUCAAUCUUGUGUUUUCGUAGUGUGAUCUAGAAUACUUCAAUACUGUCAUUAAAUCUCGUUCUUUAUAAUCCGAUUUGGAAUCAACGUGUGUUAUUGGAGCUUCCGCGCUCAACAAUUCUCAAGUUUGCUCUGAUACAACGAAAGGAACGACCGAUGUUGAUAAAUGAAUUGAAGGAGAAAAGUAUACAUUUGUUCCAUAGAAAUAAAAGGCAGGCACAUUUUUGUAUACAAGAAAUUACAUAACUAAUUUACAUGAAAAUAGUUAACUGAACAAACUCCGUUAGUGAUAUCUAUUUUUUUGUUCGGAUUUGAUUCACAUAUUUCAACAAGAAGUAACCUUUUUUUAUUAAAUGAGCAAGUAGUAACUUAGAAUAAAAUUUGGUGGGCAAUUAUUAAUUAACUCUAAAACAUACAUAAUUCUAAAAUACGUAAAGAAACAAUCGAUAAUUCUAAAAUACGUAAGGGAACAAUCGAUAGAGAAGAUGAACUUGCAUGGUGAAAAACCUAAAAGAAAAACCGGAAUUGGUAUUGGCUUUUGUGAAUUCAGAGGGCUUUUCUCUUCUUAAAUUGUGAGAGAGAGGAGAGAGAAUAUAAGAAAUGAAAGCUAAAAGCGAGUCAACUUUUUGGAAAGCUUAGAAUGCAUUUGAUUUGUUAUUUUCAGUUUUUAAUUUUGUAAUACACUGAAAACAUGUUUGAUUUGGUAUAUCUAAAAAUACAAUUUUGAAAAUAAGGACAAAAUUAUAACAUAAAAUUCAAAACACAUUUUCCAUGUCUUGUGUGUUUUCAGUGAAAAUUAAAAAAUACAAAAUAUAAAAUUCUAACAAAUAAUACUUUAUAUUUUAAAAAAUUUAAAAAAAAUAAUUUCUAAAAUUUAAAAUUAAAAGUUGAAAAAUAAAAUUAAAAAAAUAAAUUUUUUAAGCACAUAAUGAUGAUUUAUAUAAAAAUUCAAAAAAAAAUUAAAAAAAUUAUAUUCUUAGUCUACAUCAUUAAUCUUUAUUUUUAUUUUCUAUAUGUUAAAAUCAAUUUAUUAUUUAUUUUUAUUUUACUUUUAUAGCGAGACAAAAUAUUGUAAGAUUCACCAACUUUAAAAUGUAUAUGUUACAUGAUAAUAAAAUGUCAUAAAUAAUUUUUCAAAAUUCAAAUUGUUGGGUUUUUUGAUACCCAAUAAUCCAGGCGAUGAUUUAAAAUAGUUGUCAGAUUAUUUAUCGACACAAUGGACUUGGCUCGACUCGGAGAUAAACUACACUUUUGGAUGGUUCGGGUUUGGGUUGGAUGAUUAUUUGGUUAGUUGGACCAUUUAGUGAUUAAUAUGGAGUUGAAUAUUGGCCCAUAGUUUAGGUUAAUUGGUAACCCGCUUAGUGAACCCUAGACCCAAUUAGAGUGACCUAAACUAACCUAUAUAUAUGUAUUUAUCUCCCAGUCGUUUUUGGUGGUGGUGUGUGUUGUAGCAAUGGAGAUGAGAGUUGAGAGAAGAGAGGCAACCAUGAGAGAGGGAAGCCAUGUGAGGUUGUAAGUAAGAUUCAACUAUUGUUCUUCUUCCUCUCCAUACCUUUAUGGAUUGCUAACACCACCACCCUUCUCCUUUGUGGGGUUAGAGAGAAAGAGAACAGUCCAAAGUAAAGGUGAAAGUCUCGGGUCGAGUCAAGGUAAACCGGUAUUCGUUUGAUUAUUUUCUGAGCCCGAAAUCAAGAUUUAUCGAGGGAUUUCCACUACAAAUGGUAUCAGAACUUGUGUUAUUGAUAAAUCUGUGAUUUUUAGGGCUAAAAACGGGCUGGAAGUGGUCAGAAACGGGUUUGAAAAUCAGAGGCAGAAACUAUUCGAUUUUUUCAAUUUUCUACCGAAUCUGUUUUGGCGUAUUCUGAUGAAACCAAAAACAGUUUGGAGAAACGGACACCACCAUUGGACUGUGCAGGUGGAGACAAUUCAGAAAGGUUGGGGCGGCACGCGGCGCGUGAGGGUGCGUCUGGAGGAUUCCAGCGAAGUGGUCUUCAGACAGAAUCUUCCCCAUGACGAGAUGGACCCUGCAGUGUUUUCAGAUUUCAAUUUGGAGUAAUACAGUGAAAGUUGAACGAUUUUGCCCUUGGACGUUCGGGUGCCGAGUGCUGUUUUCGUGUUGCUGUGAUUGCUGUUGACUUUAGGAUGAAGAGUGAUAGUCCUGAAGUGGUGAAUUCGCGUCUCUCGAUAUUUACGGACCUUCAGACGUGGUCCGCUCGGUAUCGUAUUCUUUACUUUAUAUUAUAACAGUUAAAAUAAAUGUGUAGAGUAAUUUAUUUUUUGCAUCAAAGGUCAUCGUGUGGGUUACAUUAGGUUUGGGGUUACCAUGAAGGGGUAACCAUUGCCUAUUGCUAGACCUAGGAAUUAUUUGUUAAUUAUUUGCCUUAAAUUCUUUGUGAAUUUGCUGUCAAUUUUUCUACAUUAUUAGAAUUGUAUGUGGCCUUGGGAAAGUUUACUGGAUUAUUCUAUGUGAAUUAUGUUCAUACUUUACUUGUGGUCAUUAUUUGACAUUGGGGGUAAAUGAGGUCUAAGGUAAGUGGGAAAAAUAACAUAUAUUUUAACUAUGGUAAAAUUUGGACAUAGUUGAAAGAGAUUGUCCUAGGAUGAUAAUAAAAGGAAAGAUGAGGAUAGAGACAAGGCGAAUCUGGCUUUACAAGCAUAGUGGGUUAAGUUUUGUGACGUAAUCUAUUUGCUCUGUGAGUGGUGUAAGAGUGUGGUAGUGAGAAGAAAGUUGGGCAGCCGUUUCUCUCCUUCAUCUUUGUGAGCCUGUGUGAUUUGUGAGAUUAUAUAAGGCAGUCAUGUUAGGGUUACCUUCUUUAUCCUUGUGAGCCUUUUUUUGUGAGUGUAGUGAAGUAACCGACUCUUUCUUCGAUUCUCUUUGAGAGUGUCACCUUCACUAUUUUCUUUGUGAAUUUUUGGGAGCAUUGGUGAGUGGAUUAACCUUUGUGGUCACCGAAAGGUGUUGAUUUGUCAUAGUGAGUUUGAGAUGCAUUAGCAGUGAGUUGGAUGUCUUUUGGUAAAGUGGAGUAUAGAUGCCUAGGGGUACAUGGUGAUUUGUACUGAGGGAUGUAGAGUGUGACAUUUGGAUCACGAGUGGAGAUGUCAUCAAAUGUGUAGAGUCAUUUAUCUGUGAAAGAGACCCUGUACAAGUGGAGUGUGAGAGAGGCACUUCUAUCACUUCUGUAAAGUGGAGUCCCAUUAUCCACGUAGGUUGAGAGAAGUGAUGUGGUGAUAGAGGAUUAUCCCGAGAGUUUAGGAUCUAUUAUGACUUACCAGUUAGACAUGAGUUAAGUGAGCAUUGUGGGCGAUGAGAGGAGAUAUGUGUUCUCGAGAUGGGAGUAACACGGAAUGUGAUAGGAUAAGUGUGGUGAGAUUUUUCAUGGGGUCAUUUAUGUAUUUGUUGCAUAUGUGCAUGACCUUGUGUUGAUUAACUAAGUGUUAAUCUGUGGUUCUGUGUGAACGUGGUUUUGAAAAGAUCUGUGUGUGUGUGUUAUCCUAUAUAUCUUCAUCGCAUGAUUAUUUGUUCAUUGUGAAUACUUGUUUCUACUUGGGUAUUAUUGACCUUAGCCCUGGUGAGUAUAUGGAGCAAGUAUCGUAUGUGUUUCAGGUUGGAAACACAAGGUAAGGUCUGUUAUUCCAAUUUUAUUGGAUUACCUUGAUUGUGCAAGUAUAAAUUGUGUGUUUUGGUUGCUUGCAGAUUAUUGGGCAUCAAGGUGGAGAUUGUUAGGUUUUUUGAUACCCAAUAAUCCGGGCGAUAAUUUAAAACAGUUGUCAGAUUAUUUAUCGACACCAUGGACUUGGCUCGACUCGGAGAUGAACUACACUUUUUGAUGGUUCGGGUUUGGGUUGGAUGAUUAUUUGGUUAGUUGGACCAUUUAGUGAUUAAUAUGGAGUUGAAUAUUGGUCCAUAGUUUAGGUUAAUUGGUAACCCGCUUAGUGAACCCUAGACCCAAUUAGAGUGACCUAAACUAACCUAUAUAUAUGUAUUUAUCUCCCAGCCAUUUUUGGUGGUGGUGUGUGUAUUGUAGCAAUGGAGAGGAGAGUUGAGAAAAGAGAGGCAACCGAGAGAAAGGGAAGCCAUGUGAGGUUGUGAGUAAGAUUCAACCAUUGUUCUUCUUCCUCUCCAUACCUUUGUGAAUUGCUAACACCACCACCCUUCUCCUUUGUGGGGUUAGAGAGAAAGAGAGCAGUCCAAAGUGAAGGUGAAAGUCUCGGGUCGAGCCAAGGUAAACCGGUGUUCGUUUGAUUGUUUUCUGAGCAUGGAAUCAAGAUUUAUCGAGGGAUUUCCGCUACACAAAUCAAAUGUGUUUCUUGUUUUUUUUAUUUUGAAAAAUAAUUUUUCAAAAUGACAAACCCAAUGCGUUUUUAGUAAUUUUAAAAUAGACCCUCAAAAUAUAUAACAGAAAAAUGAACUUAAAACUGAAAGACAAACCACUCUCAUGGAUGCAAAUUAUUCCUACGUUAUAUAAUUUUUUGUUAUUUCCCUUUUCUUCUUUGUUUGGCUAAGCUAAAAUUUUUUAAAAAAUUAAAAAAAAAUAAACAGAGGGUAAGCAUUAUUUUAAGCAAUAAUAUUAUAAAAGUUAUUUUAUCCUUGAGUAAAAAGAUCGAAGGUCUAUUCUUAGUUUAACCGUUACAUCAAAAUCAUAAAAUCCACCACUUAUCGGCCUAUGCUCGAUCAACUCGAAGCAGCUGGGAGGUCUACCCCCAUACAAUCCAUUAGACUGACAUUUUUUUCUUUCACUUUAUUUUGCUUACCCACACUAGAUUUAUAGAAUUAAUUAUAGGGUUACAAUAUGUAAACAGUGUCAUUCCUCAUACAUAAAGAGAUAUUUACAGAAUAUGAAUAUAAUAUUAUUCAACUAGCUCUUCAAAUGAGACUCAAUAAAUAAUUGUAGUUCUAUUUAGUUGAUAAUAGGGUUAACAUAUAUACAAAUGACAUUGUUAUUAAAGACGCUAUAUUAUUGUCCAAAACUUCGUCCUUGCUCCUUUAUUUCCAUGUAAAUGCAGUCAUUUUUGUCAUUGGUUUUUAACAUAAAACAUCUUAUUUAAAGAUUUCCAUAUGAGCUAAAUUAAUAGACGAUAUUUAAAAGCAUGUCCAUUGUAGGUCGACAUCACACAAAAAAAUGGACAAUGUCUAGGCAAUGAUAUAGAUGCAGAGACUUUAUUAAACAUUCUCGCUCAGCAAUUCAAUUGAUUAUGUUUCUCAUUUUCUUUUUUUAUAUAUCAGAUUUUCUUUCCCUUUCACUCUAUUUUAUUAUUUGUAUUUUAAUGUUGAUAAAGGACAUUAUAUAUGCUAAAAUAUUGAAAUAUAAAUGAAACUCAUUGGAGAACAAUUAUAAACUUGACAUCUAUUCUUAGACAUCAAUAACAAUUUUCAUAUCUACUAAAAAUCCAUAUAUUCAAAAGUCACAUGGGUCGCUAUUCACGAAAUGCAUUGAAGAUGCUAGAGUCAAUUCCAGUUGUCUCAAAUAGCUGAUGAGAUCCAUUAACUUAUUUUAACUUUAAAAUCAACUCAAUUGGUAGAGAAUAAAAAGGAGAAAGUAAAUUGUAUAGAAGAUACGAUUAAAUAAUGAAAUACCUAAGCAUUAAUAUUUUUGUUCAUUUCUAGAACUGAAAAAUAAAAUAAAAUAUGGGAAAUCACUCCUAGGCAAUAAUUAAAGAGAGGUUGUAUUACCACCACAAGAAAUGGUUGGUAUGCCACAUUUUUCUUAUUUAUUUAAAUAAUCACGAAAUAACAUAGAUCUCAUAUAUUAUUAGCUUAUAUAUUUAUUCAUUCCAUCACCAUCAUCCAUACACGUUGCAUUUUCAUUAUAAUAUACUAACGAUUAAUAGAUAUUAUUUUACAAACAAUCUAACUUAAUGUUUUUAGAUUAACUGUAAAUCUCAUUAGAAAUCUACAAAUUGGCUAGCUAAAACUUUGGUCAAACUUAAUUCAUUUUACUACUAGUCAAUUGAUAUGGAAAGUUUCCUCAGCAAAAUUAUUUGAAUAUGAGUUGGCGUUCAACUUGUUCAAUUCAAUCUCAUUCAAUAAGUCGUUCAUUUAUCAAACAAUUGAAAUCCGUAGUGAACACUGAAAUCCAAUCAAUCCUUAAAUGACAAAUGAAAUAUUGAUGAAAAAGAAGCUGAACCUUUCCAGAUAAAAUUCUACUUUCCAAAGAGUUCAAGUUGAUUCAAUAACUCUUUAUAAAAUUGAUUAUUUUCCGCCAUAUAUAUGUUCCUUAACAGAUUAAAAUUCAAACUAUAUGAACAUAAAUUUAUUUAAGCAACUAAAUUAAUUAUUUUUAUGCCAUAAUUAUAAUUUCAGCUCAAGAUGGAUAUGAAGCUAACAAGGGCGCGCGUAUGCACGAAGAAUUCCUCCAUGCUCUUGCAUGCAAUUUAAGAAUUUCUCUGGCUCUCUCCUUUGUCUUUGAUCCUCGAUCAAAAACUUCCAGUACCAGGCACAAUUUUGCCACUGCACCAAUCUGCAACAUUUCUUGUAAAACUCCAGGAGUUGCUGAGAACUUCGAUAUCGAAUGUAGAAUUCUUAUUCCGCUCUCAUUUGCUGUAGAUGAAACCCUAAGAAUCUUCUUCGAAACAAUGGCUAAUCCUGCGCUGUGAUUCAACAGUUCUGCUCUUCCCUCGGCGCAUUUGCAUAGCAAAUUCAGCUCCAUAAGCAUCAAUUCGGAAGCCCUUUUGUCAGAAGAAUCGAGUAAAAGGUCAAUCAACAAGGGCACUGCUCCAGCUUCCACUGCUUUAAUCCUGUUUUUUUCCCAUGGACAUACCUUGAUAAGAACUUUCAGUGUGGCUUUUGAGACCUUCCGAGAGAUUUGAUCGUUCAAGAUAUCUACUAAUUCGUGGAAGAAUU